GGUGUAGUGUACAGUAAUGAAGAUGGGAAUCACAACAAUCCCCCAAUGAUCCGAUUCAACUCUAUCUCCUCUCCUCCUCCUCCUCCUCGUAGUAAGUCAACCGUUGUCCUUGAAGAAAUCCAUGAGGAGGAACCUAGUGGAAAUGGGUGCUCUAAUGUUGAUGGCUCAGAAGAAGUGAGGAGGAACCUAGAACUGCUACUGUCUGCUCUGAGGAUCGGUCUGAAUCAGAUAUUCGGCCACAGAAAUGCUUGAAAUGCAGGCAUUAAUGAGGACAUCCCGUGAUCAGGAGAAACAGACCAGAUAAAUGCUUAAUAUGCACCCAAACCUUCCCAUAACAUCUCUUGGUGGGUUGUGUGUUUCUUUUCUUUUAUUUUCUUUUCUGCUGUUCUUUCUUAUCUGAUUUUGAGUAGAUGUCUUAAUUAAGACCAGUUAGAACUGUUUAAAGCAAGAAUUAAAAGAUCCGGUCAUACUGUUCGAAAUUAGAUUUGCUUAGAAUUACUCUCCCAUCAAUUCCUGAAACAAUUUGAUGAAUAAGUGAUAUUGUUUCUCACACAUCUUCAAUUUCAUGUGUUAAGACACAAAUGAUUGCAUAUCACUAGAAUCAUUGUGGAGUCCAUUUGUAUUUAUGCAUUCUCCUUCACUAAUCAUGGCGACUAAUCACAGAGUCCCCAGGUCUGUCUCUAGGUUGAUCAUCUUCAGUAGACAUACCAAUGCCUCCAUAUUGCUUUUGCAGUGGGUAAUGCAAUGCAAUUAACUGGGGUGAUGUAUUGACGAGGGGAUUAUUCUAGUGAAGGUGGAGGAGCAGAAGCGGAGGCACGAGGAGAAUAGAGAAAAGGUCUUGUAACAGAACCCAAUCUUCCAGAAUCUAAUUAUUGUUGCAUUGUUUUUCUUCAUUCUACGUAACUAAAGGAUUCACAGUACUCUAAAUUGUUAGAUUCUUCACUAGAUACAUUUGUCACAGGUUUCACUACUAUGUGAAGUAUCAGUUGCCAUGCAGCCAAGUGACUGCAUGCUUCAAAUUAAACCUCAGCAGAACCCUGACCACCCUUACAUUUGAUUGCAUUCCUUUUACUGUCUCUACCUUGCAUCGUACUUCACAAGUCUACAUUUGAUCUCACACUCUCUUGCUUGGCCUCACUUCUAUUUGGUUAUAAUUUAAAUAUGGCAUUUCUUGUCUGACUUCCUUUCUCCAUUGUAGAACUGUUGAUUUUAAGUAGGUCAUAAGUAAAUUUGAGUCAUUGCCUUGUUUUUUGAGUUGAUUUCUAUGCGUCACCAUGCAACUUGUUGCUUUUUUUUUUUUUUAAAAUUUUUUUUUUCACAUGUUGUUAGUAUGCUUAAGAAUGAUUAUAAGUAAGAAUUUAGAAUUAAAAGAAAAAAAAAAGAACUAGUGAGAAAAUAGAAAAAAGUGGGAGUCAGUUGUGGUAGUGAAUUUGACAAAAAGUUAAAAUUGGAGUAUGUUUAUGCUUGAAAGGGAAAUUUGGUAUCAGCAUCCAACAAUGCUUGUAAUAUUAUUUGUUAGUAAAUUAACUAACAUGGUGUUUUAAUAUAUUUUCUGUUUUUUAUUUUAAAAAAGAAAAUAGUAGAAAAUUUUGAAAGCAAUUUUAAAUUUUUUAUAUUUUAUACUAGAAACCUUAUAUUUUUAUAGGAGGGAUAUUCCAAUUUUUUUUUAACUAUAAUAAUAAUAAUUUCAAUAUAAAAUAUAGAAACUUUCAUAUUGAAAGAUAAUAGUUUUCAAAAAUUAUUUAAAAGAAUAUAAAUAUGAAUUACCUCAAAUAAUAGGGAAGUUUAUUUUUAUAAGAGUUUAGUUACUAAUAUUUUAUUUUUUAAAAUAAAAAAUAAGAAAAUAAUUCAAACCAUACUUAAAAUUUCAAAAUAUACUAACCAACAACAUCAAUAGAAACCAUGCAAUAUAGACUUCUUUCAUGUACCUAUGAUGGCUAGUUGGUUCUUUCUCCAACCACCCCCAACCUCUCUUUCCUUUGCACAACCAAGCCUCAUUGAACUUUGACUAAAUUAAUGGGAAGCACUUUGUCAAGCUUAUUUUUUAUACAUGGCAUAGAAAGAUCCAUUGUUGUGUGUAGUGGUUCAAUAAGUUUCUUAAUGAGGCUUUUUAUCAAGCGAUUUGCUUUCUAUAAAUUAUAUCAAUUUUUUUAAUAUAAUUAAGAAAACAAAGUUUGAAAAAAUGUAAUAAAAUAAACUAUGCAAGAUAAAUGAGACAGAAUAAGUAUGACAAAUUCUCAAAUUUGUUCUAUUUAACUUUUUAAAUAAGGUAAAGACAGAGAGCUAACUCACCUUAAAUCCACCCAAUUACAUCUCUACCAAGGAGUAACAUAAUAAUAAUAUUUGAUGAAAUUAAUAAUAAUAAAAAAUACUAUCAGGAUAAUAACAUUAAUACCAAUAUUAAUAUAAAAUUAAUAAUAUUCAUAUUAUAAGCACCAAUGAUAAUAGUAAUAAUUUUGGUAUUUUCUAUAUAUCAAUGAGUCAAAUAUCAUUGACUUUAAUUAUAUAAUAAGUUAAAAGUGGACUUUGACCUAAUUAUAUAGAAAGUUUAGGGCUUAUAAGCAUAAUUGUCUUCUUUUUUAACAAACUUUUUUUUUUAGCGACUUUGGCAUGAAAAAUAAAAUUAUUAAAGGAUUUGGUGUAAGACUGUCAAAUGAAUCCUUUUUUGUGAUAUGUUUCUUUGUCUUUAGCAUCAAUUGAACUAAUGUCUAUUUAAAUUGACAUUUGAGAAGUCAAAAUCUCCCUUUUAAACUUAAUAGAAGUUUAUAUGCUUUUUUGGCAAAUUGGUAGAAUUGUUGAUUGCUUUUGUGUCGUACACUCAAAAUUUUUUACGAGUUCAUUUAAACACCACCUGGAGUUAGCAUAAUUUGUCGAGAAAAUAAUAAUGAAAAUCUUUGAUUCUUCAAUGGCUCUCAAAAGAUCUGAUGCAAUAUCUCCUCCUUUCUCAAGUUCUUCAUCAUCUCUGAAAGAAUGAACUCCAUAUGCAACUAAAGUUGUAUAGAGAUGAUCGGUGAAAUUUUUGCGAGUGUCUUCACCUCUAAAACUUAUAAACACAUCAUAACUAUGAGGAGUAGAAGUAGAAGAAGAGGCUUUCUGGGUGCUGGUAGAGGCCAUUUUGGAUUGUUUGUGCUGCACCUGCAAAAGUCUGGGAAAGAGAGAGAGAGAAGGUCUUUGGCAGUGAUUGAAAUGUCGAUUUUUAUCCUUGAAAUUUCGCCGAUAUUUCAGUCAUCGGUGAAACUCGAUACGACAUUGAGGGCCGAUAACCGGUUGGAAGGAAUUUCGCUCAAGUAUCACGAGUGUUGGAAGUAGUGUUGGUAACAACUUAAAGAGCACUUGAGCAGCCUUACUGCUUGAAGCGACACUGGAUGUAACUUAUAGCACUUAAGUGAUAGGUGCGAAGGAAAGGAGCACUUGAGCGCUGGUGACAACACUCAAGCAUUCAAAGCAGAACAGAAGCAACCAAGUUUAAAUGAGAAACCUUUCAAGGAGCUUAGAAUCCCAAAAACAAAUCAAAAUAGAAUAUAUAUAUAUGUGUGUGUGUGUUUCAAAAUAUCAUAGGGUAUAAUGAUAGUGCAGAAACUUGUAAAAUUAGAUUGAAAAGUAAUAUAUCAAGUAAAAUGGCUAGAUAAUAUAGAUUAAUAAAACAAGAAUGAAGUUUUAGCUCCAAAGAACAAAGUUAAUCCCAAUUUUAGUUUAGAAACUCAAUGUAUAAUUGUCAAUGUAUAAGAUGAUCAACAUAUAAACAUAAGUAUUGACAUUCAAGGGAAUACGACUUAAUGUCUAGUUUUAUAUUUCGAAAUUGAUCUCUUUGAAGAAAUCAAGUCUUGUCUUUAGUCAAAUUAAAAUCAUAUCCAGUCAAUUUGUUCUAAGACCAUUGGACUUCUAUUUAACAUAGUCUUGUUAAUAUAUAAACAACACAACUUAACUUCCCUUUAAUUUGAUAUCAUCUUUUUUUCUUUUGAAAGUGGAUGCAUCAUAUACCAUGAUCACAUUUGGUUUUUCUUUAUUUUAUUCACGGUUGCCUUUAUAUCCACUUUAGGGGUGUUUCCAAAUGUUGUAAGUGAAUAGCAUAAAUUUAAUGAACGAAUCUUAGAAAGUAUAUAAGAGUUGAACUUGGCCAAGGAUUCAAAUUUUGCACUGACUCACUUUGAAAAACAAUAUAAUAAUAUUAGUCAAACAAGGUAUGUGGACAAUAAAAUUUAGGCAUGACAAUUGAUCCUUCCAAAGAAACCAAAGUCUACUUUAUUAGGUAAACUUAAGAAGUCUUCCUCUUAAUCAAUCACAAAGAUUAAUUAUCAAGAAUCAUGGGCCUCAAUAGUGAUGAACAAAUAUCUAAGGAAAAUUAACAUCAUAUCUUGUACAUUUAAUAUAUUUCAUUAGGUCAUAAAUUUGAGAUAUUACAUAUCAUCCUAAUAAGGCAAGUAAGUAAACAAUAAUCAUGUGCUUAAAGAUGAUAUAAAUAAGGCCAAAGGAAACAAAACCAAAAAAUAGACAAUAAGAAACAAACCUUUGAAGCCUAUCAAAAAAGAUCUUAAUCGAUCAAGCACAUGCCUAAAGAUUUCCUAAGAAAUUCAAACCUAAGAGAAUCCAAGGGUUUAGUAAAGAUAUUUGUCAAUUGAUGUUCAGUGGGGACAAACUCCAGAGAAACAACCUUAUUUUCAACUAAAUCCCUAAUAAAGUGAUGACGAAUUUCAAUAUGUUUAGUAUGAGAAUGAAGAAUGAAGAAUAACUUGAAUUUAAACAAUAAACAACCUUAGACGGAAUGUUUAUUUUUUAUAUAUAUCAUGAUGUUUAACUUUCAUAUCUUAUUAUUUUCAUAUACUACAUGCAAUGUUUAUGGAUCUCAAGCCUCUUAUUUGUUUAUACAUAAAAUUAUAUGGGUUUAGCACUAAUGAAUUGAUAAAACCUUACAUGAUUGUGUCAUAAAUUAUGCAAAUUAUGCAACAUUAGCCUGAAACUAAUGUCAAUACAAUGUCAAGGCUCAAAAACUUGAUUAAAAGGUCUCAAAAAGUUACUAUUUUAUUAUUAGAUAGAACAAAAUUCUACAUGAAUAAUGCUUAAGAUGCCUAAAGAAUCAAUAAAGAUAUCAGUUCUAGUGGAUAUCAUAUUAUAAUUAUGAUGAAUUAGAAGUUCCUUGAAAUAAAUUAGUAUAUGUUUUUUAAUGACCAACUUGGUCUCCUAGGAUUGACAAUAGUUGUCCUUGAAAAAUGGGUAUUACUUUAAUACCACUUGAAUAAUAACCAAAAGUCCACUAAAAAAUGCCCAGAGAGGGGUGAAUAGGAGAUUUUAAAAAUUAUAAAUAAAUUAUGUCUAAACUUUAUUUUAAGAGAUAUCAGGGAUGUCUUGGAUAAUCAAAUAUGAGUUCACUAUAAAUAAAUGUAUGAUUUUUAUGGUUAAUUGAUAUCCAAAGAUUAUUCAGGGAUAAAAUAAUAUAAUUAUCAAUAUCGGAGAUAGAUAUUGAGAUAGGUUAGGAAUGAUAAUAACCAACAAAAUAACCAACCUCACAAACUCAAUAACAUUCUCAACAAACCAAACAAAUUAUAUAUUAAAUGAAGUUAGGAAUAACAAUAAUUUGUUAUAGGUAUAGCCACUAUAACCACCAAUAUAACCAACCUAACAACUCAACAGUCAACUAACCAAUCAAUCAUAAGGGUAUCUCAUUAACAACCUAACUAAUCAAUUCAAGAUAAUCAACAUUAUCAACCAGAAUAUAACUAGGAAUAAAUAGAUAUGCACUUUUUAGGAAAACCCUACAAUAUAUUAGGAUUAAUCAAAUUAACAUAUUUUAGGCAAUUCAAACAUAAUGUCAAAUAUAAAGAUAUAGACAAUGGGGUACAAGAUUUUUACGUGGAAAACCCUUACAAACUUGUGAAGAUAAAAAACCACAAGGUCUAAGACCUAUAAAUUAAUCUAAAUCCACUAUUUGAAAUCAAGUUACACAAAUUUACCUAGCCUUUUUACCCUAAAGACUUACUUUUCAAAGCUUACAACUUGAUCCACAUCCACGAUGCAACAACUCCCUGUUGCUCCCUAGUAGAUCCUUUGGCUACUCCUAAGGGAUUAAGGUUUUCAACCAACAAUUCAAAUAUCCAAGUCCUUGAAUGAGAUAUUAGGAAUGAUGUGACAAUUAAGCUUUCUUCACAAGGAGUCCCUCUUUAAAGAAUAAGAGGUUUCCCAAACUCUAAGAUCUCUACGAUCUCAACAAUCUCCAAUCUCUAUGAUCUCCAAUCGCUAACCCUCAAUGGGUUAUAAAGGAGGUAUUUAUAGGCAAAAAUCAUAAGAGUUUCGGUAUCUAAAGUUUCCAAAUUAAAGUUCAAAUAAAAUUCAUCCAAAAUAUGUUUCUAAACUCGAUAGGACUAAUAUAACCAUUUGAGUGGACUUGGACCACUUGAGCGAUCCUUACUACUUGAGUGGGUUGACCACUUGAGCGGUCUCUGCUUCUUAAAAAAUCAUUUAAAAAACAUUUUAAGUCCAAAAAUGACACUGGACCUCCUUAGUGAUUGAAAAAUAGGGAGGAAGUGGUACCUCCUUAGUGACACGGAGUCUGAGUCAUAUAGGAGAAACCACAUGUUUCAAAAAAAAAAAACAAAAGAGUUAGUGAGUAGAGGAAAUAGAAAAAUGCCAAGUUUAAACAAAAAAUGAUGUCUAUAUAUGAUGUAUCAUCAGUAAUACAUCCAAUCCCAUAGUAUAAAACAUCAACACAUGGAAUUAUGUAUAAUAUAUAAAGACAAAAAGUAAAGAGAUGAUCAAGUAAUGGUAGGGUCCUUUGGAGCUGAUGCAUCUGUGGUGGCCUCUUGAGUGGGUUGGAUCAGGACUUUAACCUCUGUUCUGAUAAUCUCCUUAGGUGGCAUAGUCUCCUCAACUGGAGCUAUGGGCUUUGAUGGUUUUAAGGAGGUCUGAAAUGGAGUGAGAGGCUUCGUGUGUGAUCUCAGUGAGAGGGCUCUCCUCUUUAGAUGCAUGGUUGCGUGGUUUGUCUUCAAACGGCCAUAACUUUUUCGUUUCAACUCCAAAUCGUGCACCGUUUAAAGCAUUGGACUCCUGACUUCCCAAGAUUUGAAAUGACAUAUGGUAUGCACAAUUUGAGCUCCAGGAAGUUCUUCAAAAAUGUGUCCAACAGUAGCGAAAUGCAACAUUUCCGUUCUGAUUUUGAUCAUCCAAAAACCUAUAUUACAUCAAAACAAAUUAGAAUUAAAGCAUUGAAAUCAAAAUUAAAACAAGUAAUAAACAAAACAAAAAGAUAUGGAUUAGCUAGUCUUUAAAAAGACUAAGUCCAUUAAAAAAUUUGAUCCUGAUUUAGCUUGCCCGGAUCCCAUAUGAAGUUUGCAUCCCUCACUUGAGACUUGGUUUGUAUGAUUUUUCCAUACAAAGCUUGGGGGAAAGGUGGAGGGAUGUAAUUCUUCAUAAUUUCUUCCUUGAUGACUAUCCUUUGUGGUUUUCCUUGUAUAUUAACAUCAUAGCCAUCUUUCUCUAUCCUUUUCCCCUUUUUCUUUCCUUUGAUUUCCUCCCUCUUUUAUUUCUCUGUUUCACUCUCUACCUCAUGCUCUAGCUUGGAUGUGGGUAGAUCAACCUCUUUACCACUCCUCAAAGUGAUAACCGUUUUAACUUCCUUCACCAUUGAAGAUUCUCCCUUUUGAGUCUCCACUUCAUGGAUACCCUUGGAAUUUUGAUGAGGUUGAGAAGGAAAGUUUCCUUUUUCUUGCACUUUGUUGAGGUUGGCAAACCAUGAGAUUGAAUAUUGGAGGUUAUCUAUCUUUUGAGAUAAAUCAUUUUGCACUCCAUCCAUCUUUUUGUUCAAUGAACUCUCUACACUGUCAAUUCUUUGACUGAGUUGAGAGUUGAUGGAUUUUUGUUCUCCAAUAAAAUCUCCCACAACCUUGCUGAGAUUCAUUAUAGCUUGAUGAAGUUUCGAGGCUUGCUGAGGUGCUUGAGCAGGUUGCUGGUACCGAGGUGGCUGUGGUUUCCAAGAGAAAUUUGGAUGGUCCCUCCAAUUGGAAUUGUAGGUGUUGCAAUCACCAAACAUUUCUCUCACCAUUGGAAUGGUAGGACACUGAUCCACCAAGUGCUCAAAAGAUCGACAAAUGGAACAAGGCAUAGGUUGCAAUGGUGUCUGAGAGAUGGCUUGCACUUCUUGCAUCUUCUUCAUUUCUAGCUCUUCCAAUCUCCUUGCCAUAGCUGCAAUCUUUGCCUUCAUGUCUAUGCCGUCAUUCAAAAUAUACAUCUCAGCCUUAGUAUUAGGUUGAGACAUCGUUCUUCCCAUAUUUCGAGCAUUCGGUUUAUCCCAUCCUCUUGAAACUUCAGCCACAUAUCUCAUGAAGUUCAUGGCUUCCUAUGCUAUCUCGUAUUCAAUAUGGCAUGCACAACUAGCAAUUUAUGAAUUAAAAACAGAGAAAAUAAAAGAAAACAAAAGAAAAACAAUUCUAAGAAAAAAAAUUAAGGUAAACUAAAAACUAAAUAAAAAGUAUACUAAAAUAUGAACAAAGAAAAAGAAACAAAUAAAAAGAGUUAGUAAAAAGAAAAGAAAAGUCACCAAACUUGUGAUGAAGAUCACAAGUACUCUGAAAAGGUCAUAUCACUGUAAAGUGGUACCAUCCCCGGCAGCAGCGCCAUUUGAUUCUUUCCCAAUUGGUGUCUCAGCUGAUUCAUGUCCUCUCAAUGGUCCCUGACAGUGGUGCCAUUUGAUUCAUGUCCAGUUGGUGUCCCUUGAUUGUGGUCCUCAGGGAGUAAUCAACAAAAUUUAUAACCUAUUACACCAUGUACUAGGAUAGCCUUAGCUAGCAUAGCAUAGUGGCUCUAGGGUCGUUCACUGGGAUGGGUUUUCACUCUACAAUUGAUAUUAAUUCAAAGUUGAAUUGGUGCCUUUUCAUUUUAAGGUUAGCUUUAAAAGAAAACAUAAAGAUGUUUAAAUGAAAAAGGUUUGGUUUUAAACUAACCAAAAAUAGUAACUGAUUUUACUUACAAAGAAAAGUGUUUCUUGGAGUUUAGAUCACUGGGCUCAGAUUCCUUGUACAAAAAGGGAGUUUCGGUCACUUGUUUCUUUCCCUUGCAUUAGAGAAUUAACAUAUAGUUAAUUCUCUAACCGGUGUGGUACAGAUGUUUCCCUUUAAUGGGUUCAAACACUAAAUCCCUCUCACUGAUGCAAUUUGCAAUGGCUCGUGCCUCUCACCUAGCAUUUGCCAUUCAAGGUGAUCUUUAACCUUGGAUUACCCAUCAAAAGCUCGCAAAAGAUAACUAAUGGAUGUCUCCUUGGAGUCCAAAAGCUUACCAAGUGUUGGCUAUUCUAGAAAAUCCUACCUUCGAGUCACUUCCUAAAAGCUCGCAAGAGGUAAACUAGUGCAUUUCCAUGGACGGAGAUCACUGGCCUUACCAAGUGUUGGCUUAAGUAACUUGAAGGCGUUUUAAGUUAACUAAAAAGAUAAAAACCAUUAUCGGGUCACACUUUCUCUUCAUUAAAAACUAAAACAACAAAACUUCCAAUUUAUGCAUGAGGAACUUACCCGGCUUUCUUCAAUCCAAGAGACGAAGAGCCUAGCCUCUCAACCUCUGAGGAAAAAUCCUCAGAGUUUGAUUGGCUAGAAAUAAGAAGAACGAGAAAACAAAAAUAGGAAAAACAAAGCAAGUGCUCCCUUUGUCAAUUUCACAUAUAUUAUCUAUAUAUCUAUCUAUGUUCUUUACAUUGGUUCAAAGAUAUAUAUAGAGAAGAUAUUUUCUAAGAAAUAUCCCAGUAAUAUCUUUGACUGAUUACAAGGAGAAAAUAGAAAUUUACACAAAAUAUCUUGAGAGAAAAAAUCUAACUUAGUCGGUGGCAAAUAUCGGGAAGCUUCAAGAGAACACUGCGGCACUGUGCAAAAAUCUGGGUAAUCUGAAAUGUCGGCCGCGGAUGCUCUCCGGGUGAGUGCUAUCAGAGGAUCUGGAUAUGUCUGACCGGGGAAUUUGAAACGUCUUCCUCUCCCAUCCGGAUGUGAGAUAUCCCACGCCGCAAGGCUAUCCGGAUUCCCCAAGCGGAAAGGCAACGCAAUGCUAUCCGGAUCCCCUCAGGGUUCUACACACGACACUCGUAAUAAUCACACCCGGACGAUAGCAUAUCCUAUCCGGAUAUGUUGUCCGAAUGGAAAACAUUGACUAAAGUGAGCAAGCCUUGCUACUUCAUUCCGAAAGCCUACCACAGCUCACGUUCCGCCGCCCUCCGAUGGUGUGUCCGGACGCCCUGUCCGGACAUCUUUUGCCAAGGAUUCCAAAGAAUCUCUCCUCAAUCUUGGAUUGCUUUGGUGAUCAAAAAGCUAUCAAAACACCAAAACUUAACACAAUUUGAUUAGAAUUGAUUGCAAGGGUCCUUAAUAUGUUAAUUGGGUUAAAAGGUGAUAACUAUUACUCAAAAGUGUUUAUAAGAGUUAAUUACAAGCUAUGAAAUAACACUUUUUGAGUAGUAAUCAAAAAGCCCUUGAAUAAAUAGCAUAGGUACAACAUUCCCUAAAAAGGAAGAUGGUUCAAAAAAGGCAAUAACCCCCUGAAAACUAAAAAUAGCGAGAUCUCCAUAGGUCAUAUAAAAUGGAAACAAAAUAAGGUCUUUUUUCCAAAGUAACUUAACGUCAUUAAAAAUGACGAGGAUCUCAACUGAAAAAAAAUGGUAUAAAUCUAUUAAUCAAAGUGGAAACAAGUAAUCCAAAUAGAUCUAAACUCAUUAACAAAAUGAGAAACAUUAAGACCUAAAGUCUAAUGCAUGAAGAUAUAUGAAGAUAUAAAAAUAAGAGAAUCUGAAGUCUAAAUCCUAUUGAAUAAAUGAGUAUUUGUAUUAAAAUGCUAUAAAAAAAAAUGAGAUCAUGAGACAUUAAAUAUUACUUUUAGCAUGAAGUUUAUAGAAGUAACCAUAUAUCAACUCUCAUAAUAACUCAAUUAUGUAGUAUUCCUAGAAAUACAUAAUACAGAUUUUCUAAAUGUAGCUAUAACUUAUUUAUAUGGACUCAUAAAUAUUAAUAUACAUAUAAAUCCUUGAGGGAUUUUGAAUGUUUGAGAAAAUAAUUUAAAAUCUCAAGUGUGAAAUUCCUAAAGAAUUUAAAAUGCUUGAAUUAAAUUAUUUAAAACCUCAUAGUAUGUAUUUAAUCAAGCUAUAAUGCUUCUUAUAUGGAUUAAAGCAAUUUGGAUGUAUGUGGUACAAUCGCCUUAGCAAAUAUCUUUUAAAAGAAGGGUGUAUGAAUAACCUUAUAUGUCUAUUCAUUUUCAUUAAGAGAUCAAAAAUUAGAUUUGCAAUUAUUGUAAUGUAUGUUGAUAAGCUUAAAAAACUCAUAAAAACUGCUAAUUAUUUGAAGGGAGAAUUUAAAUUGAAAGAUUUAAGGAAAACAAAAUCUAUCUUGCCUUGUAGAUCGAGCAUCUUUCAAAUAGAGUGUUGAUCCAUCAAUCGACGUAUAUAGAAAAGAGUCUUUUAGCAUUUUCUUAUGGACAAAUCACAUCCAUUAAAUUCUUCAAUGGUAGGUAGCUCACUAGAAGGGGAAAAAAAAUUGACAUGGGUUUAUUUUAUUCAAAAGGAUUAGAGUCUCAAUUGCUUGGCUUUAGGGAUGCUAACUAUUUUUUUGAAUCCUCACAAAACUUGAUCUUGGACAUGGUAUGUAUUUACCUACGAUUAAUAAUAUCAUAAAAAUCAGUUAAACAAACAAUGACAAUCGCCUCUUUAAAUCAUUCAAAAAUAAUAGUAAUCCAUGAAGUAAGUCAUUUUAUACUCAUAUUAGAGAGUAAUGUGGACCAUUCCUCAUCAAAGAUAAUCUGACCAAGUUACAUGAAGACAAUGUUGCUUAUAUUACACAACUUAAAUGAGGAUGUAUAAAGGGUGACAAAGCUAAGCAUAUUUCCCCUAAGUCCUUUUAUACUCAUGGGCUCUAAGAAAAUGGUGAAAUUCUUGUUCAAAAGAUUCGAUCAUAUGAUAAUCAAAUAGAUUUAUUUACAAAAGCAUUACCAUCUACUACUUUGAACAAGUUAAGAUGUAACACUGGGAUGCAGAGAGUGAGAGAUCUAUAAAUUGAAGCAUUGAAAAAAGUAUGAUCAUGUCUACAUUAGGGUGGGGGGGAUAUUAAUGUCCAUACACUGUACUCUUUUUCCUUUGUCCAAAUUUUAUCUCACUUGGUUUUAUUGACAAGGUAUUUCAUGAGGCAUUGUUAAGAUCAAAUUAUUUACAAGAAAAUAUUACUUUUUUUUUUCCUUCACUAGGAUUUUCCUAUUACUUUGUUUUCCUAGUAAGGUUUUAAUAAGGCAUAUUCUUUGAUCAUUUAAAGGGGAGUAUUAUGAUUUAUAGGAUUUGGUACAAGAAUUUGUUAGGAUGGAUGAUCAUAUGUUCCUUGAUAUUUCUUAACUAUUGUUGUUUGCCUUCUCCUAAUUUCCUAUAAAAGGAGAGUUCUACUACUAAAAUUACACAGAGUUUGAUUCUCACUAUCUCUUCUUCUAUUUGUUCUCCUAUUAUUUUCUUUUUUUAUAACAUUUUUAACUUUUAUGUACUUGGAGAAAUAUGCAAGGUAGUAGUAGUACAUUUUUUAGUAUGUCUUAUGGUUUUAUUCUAUGUGUACUAACAUUUUUUUCUUUAUUAUUCAAAUAAUUUAAAAUAUCUUUUUCAUUGUUUCAUUAGUGUAAAACUCUUACUCUCACUUUUGGACAUGCUUUGGCAAUACGUUUAAUUUUAUUUCAAUUUAAUAUUCAAUCUAAUAUGUUCAAUAUUAUCCUCAACUUAAAUAUUUACUAAAAAUUUAAAAAUUCUAUGUUAUAUUUAGUAUACAAGAACACAAGAAGUUAGUUACAUGGAUAGCACAAUAUGACCCAUUCAACUUCACAAAUGGGUUAAGUCAAAUUACAUAUUAAUUGAUAAACUUGUUAACACAAUUCUAACCUGAAAAACCUAUUAACGUGAUUCUAACAAGAUGAACUUGUAAACACUGUUCUAAUUCAUUGAACAUUUAAAAUUUUAAAUUUCUAAAUGCAUUAUUUUAAAAUACCUUUUAUUUUCAGUUUUAACUUUUUAUAACCUUAAUUAAUUUAAUUAUUGAAUUUUAAUUAUAAUAUAUUUAUAAUGUAGAAGUAUAUUUAGAUUUUAAUUUUACACUUGUUUAUAAAUUUAUUUAAUGUUUUAAUUAUAAAAUAUUUUUUAAUCUUUAUAAUGAAAUAUAAAUUUUUUUUACUUAGAUUGUUAUUUACUUUUUUUAACUAUCAAAUAUUUAUAAUUAAAAAAAGAUAUUUUUAAUUUAAAUUAAUAAAUUUAUAUGAGUUAAAUGGGUCAUAAUUGGGUCAUUUUUAACACGAUUAAGCAAAAGAGGUUUAAUAGUUGGAUGGAUUGAUUGCUCAAACUUGAACAUGAUUAAUUAAUUAAAUAGGUUAGACAGGUUGAAUAGUUAAACUUAAAUAUGACUCAUUCAUUAAAUGAGUGACAAGGGUGAACAUGAGCACGAUUACACUCAAGAAAAACACCCGUUGGAUGAGAUUCAAGUGCCUCCAACUCGUAUGGGAAGCCAUGCAGGAGAUAUGUGUGAACCUCGUUCGGCAACCAAUCAUCAACCCUCCAACCCAACGAUACACUCGAAGCUCAACUUGCUAAGUACCAAGCACAGUUGGAAGAGCUAAGGGAGGCUACCAAUAGGCUCCGAAGCAAAAAUGAGGAAAUUGUGUGUACCCUAAUCGGAAGUAUCGGUCCAACAAGCCCGAAUAAAAACAUUCAGUCACUUAUUUGUGUUCGAGAAGGACUAUUCAAUCAAACAUAAUUGGAAACAAGGUUUAAAAUAUUCGAAUAUUUUAUCGAUAUUUUACUGAAUUUUCAAAUUUUCAUGUUUUAAUAUUUCAUUGAUAUUUUCAAACAUUUUAUCAAUAUUUCAUUGAUUUUUUUAUUAUUAAAUAAAUAAAUUAUAAUUAUUUUAUUUCUACAUUUGAUUUAAUUUAUUACCAAAAAUAUAAAAACAUAAUUUUCUUAAUAUGUCUUUUCUAUAUAAUCUAUAUAUUUAUUAAAUAUAAUAAAUAUAACUAUUGAAAAAAUUAUACAUAUAUUAUUGUUUAUUUGAUAUCAUUGAAACAUUUAAAUUAAAAUGGAUGAUAAUUUUAAUAUUAAAUAUAUUUUAAAAUUAAACAUAUUAUCAUAAUAAUAUUAUAAAAUAAUCUAUAAUAUAACUUAAUAAUAAAUGUACACUUCUAAAAUUUAUAUUUUUUAUCAAAAAAUAUUAUUAUCAAAUAUAACAAAUUAUAUAAUUAAUUAAUUAAUUAAUUAUUAUUAUUUUUAAAAUAACUUUAAAAUAUUUAUUUUUAUUUCUUAUAUAAUUUUUAAAUAUUUUUUUAAAUAUUUUUAGAAUUUUCAUUAAUUUAUUUAUCAUCGAUAUUUUUUAUAUAUCUUCGAUUUAUUUGAUAUAUUCGUAAAAUGAAAUACCCUUUCAUCUAUUGGAAAAGGGCCUCAUGGAAGAACCUUAGGAGCCAUCACAUCUGACACAAAUCAUAUCUGGCACCAUGGCUCGGAUAAAUCUUGAUGGAAACCUCGCACUUCAGAACUUUUGGGCAUAAACCUCGAAGGCUAAUAGGACAGCAUAUGCAGAGUAUGAGGUACGGCUCCCAAAGCGAAAAGACAUAACCAGUAGAGUAUUUUCCGAGGGAAGCAACAUGCACCGCCUAACACACACCACCUCGAUCAAUAGCAAGCAUUGUGAAGUUCCUUAAGUUUGGCUUGACAAGAGCUCAUUCCUAAGAAAAAGUUGACUCCAUGACCACCAAUCAGGGCACGCCCAAGAGAAACUAUAAAUCCUGACAAAGGAUGAGCAAGAGGGGCAGAAAAACAUGGAGAGAAAAACAUACUGAAGGGUAAGGAAUCAAGAAUUUGAGAAAAUUGGUGGCUAUCUUGGAUCAACCAUAAGAAAGUGGUCGCUAGUCUACAUUGGGGCAACCCCAAUCCUUGAAGUAGUCGAGCACCAACAAAAAUGGUUGCAUAAAUCAAUGCAGCAGCGCAAAUGCACUCAAGUGUAGUAAAGAUCGAUCACCAGCCAGUAAAGAAACCCUGCCAGCUCUCCAAUGGAUCACAUUAUCUGGGACAAACAACAAUUGUAGAUAUUAAUGACCAUGAUUCAUAUUGGGAAGAGGAAGGCGCAACCCACUCGCAAUGGGUAGGGCCUGAUCUGAGUAAGGCUACCAAUCCUGCACUAGAAAAGAACUGAGUAUAUCAUUCCCUAGGAUGCACCCAUGUGUCUAGCAAGUUGGGUGCAAUGAUUUCGGGAAUCUCACCUCGGUCGAAGCCCCUUGUCUGGGCACUGAUAAGAAUGACAUCUUGGCUUCUUAAUGACAUGUUGUCCACCUCACUCUUAGAUCGAAUUUUGAAGCAUGGUCAUCCACUAGGGUUCGUUGUGCUGAAGUUUACAAUGUAUGACGACACCUUUGAUCCGUUUGACCACUUAAUGCACUACUAACAAGUCAUAACCUUGGAUAUCGACAACCAUCUACUACUAUGCAAAGUCUUUCCGGGGAGUCCUCAUGGAUCGACUUCCUCCUAACUCUAUCUGUUGUUUCCAUGAGUUAUCAGAUGUUUUUAUGGCUCAUUAUCUUUGUUCCGCCCGCCAGUAUCAAGGGCUCGAUAGUCUUAACAACCUUAAGAUGAUGGAAUAUGAAACAUUGCGUGAUUUUAUGAAGAGGUUUGGGCAGACAGUGACAUAAAUAAAGACUUGCAACAUGGAGGCGAUAAUGUAGGUAUUCAAAAGAAGCUUCGUGCCGAGAACAUCUUUCUUCAAGUCCAUUUCGAAGAAACCACCGGAGACCAUGGAUGGCUUUCAAAAAAAUAACAAGUAUGCCAUGUUGGAAGACAUUUUGUGCACCGCAUUGUAGAAGAUUGUGGCAACCUCUCAUGCUCCCUUGAUCUGGAAAAAUGAUUUGUUUAGUGUUAAGAUGGAAGGAAAGUGCUAGAUGGGCCGGGAGCCUCCAAACGGCAAGAGAACUAAAAUAAGAGAGUCAAGCGGCCGCCCUACCCCAUAAUUCACAAAGCUUACUCUCGGCUAUAUGCAAUUGUUGCCCAUCAUUCAGAAUUUAGGCGGUUUUUAGUGGUUGCACCCCAUGAGAGGAGACUUAAGCCAACGAGAUCAAAGUCGGUUCUACGAGUAUCACAGGGAUAGGGGGCACACCACAGAGGAAUGUCGCCACCUUCAUUACUAAGUGGAGUGGUUUAUUCCAGCGGGGAUGCUUCAACAGUAUGUAGAAAAACCACAUCUGUCUAUAAGGGGAGAUCAAAACCCCUACGCAGCAGCCACAUUCGCAACCAUUAACAGUCACCGAAUGAAGGUCGGUACAUGUGAUACAUGAGGGAUCCGUGAACAAGCAGUGACAGGACAAUAAAAAAACCAAAACUAUGAUAAAUGCAGUAGAAUGAGCGACAUCCAUUAACAACAUUUAAUAUGUCUUCACUCCUAGAAGCGUCCUCCCCAGCAAAAGUUUAACGGUCUAGGAGUAACUGCAAAGCACCCGACAAAAUAUUAAAGGCCUAGGGUGCCCACAAAGCACUCCACCAAAAACUAAUGGCCUAGGAGUGCCCGUAAAACACCCGAAAAAAUAUUAACAGCCUAGGAGUGCCCGCGAAUCACUCUACCAACAACUAACGACCUAAGAGUGCCUACAAAGCACCAACCAAGCCUUAGGCCACGAAGCAUUUUGUUAAGCCUAACAUAAUGCCCAUGAAUAAUUCAACCAAGCCUAAAACAAUGCCCAUAAAGCAUUUGGCCAAGCAGAAAAGAAUGCUAGUGAAGUAUUCGACCAAACCUAAAAGAAUGUCCAUGAAGCAUUUGGCCACAAAGAAUGCCCACAAAGCAUUCCACCAAACCUAAAAAUAUGCCUAUGAAGCAUUAAGCUAAGCCCAACAGAAUGUCUGCAAAGCACUUGGCCAGACCGCCAACAAAAAGCUGAUGAGUGCCCAUGAAGCACUCGACCAUAUCACAUGAACUUAGCGGCUUAGGUAUACCUACAAAGCACUUAGCCAUGCCACUAGAAAAUCGCCAAGAUGUGCCCAUGAGGCACCCAGAUCUUGCGGCUUAGGUGUGCCCACAAAGCGCCUAGCUAAGCCACACAUGCCUUGUAACCUAAAAAUGACCAGAAAGCACUGGACUUGUAGUACUCCUAAACACCCAACCAGACCAAAACCAUUAACAACCAAUCGACACACAAUCAAAUUACAACCCAAAAACAAACACCCAAUAAACUUAGGAAAAUACAGAAAACAUAUUGCAAAUAUCCAGUGAAGUCCAAAAAAGUAUCGCACAUAUCCAUUACAUAAAAAAUGUCCAUAACCAAAAAUGGGGAAGAUUCCCCCCACAAUUCUCUCAUGCAACAACAUCAGAGUAUCGUCGGUAGCCUUCCUAGUCUUGGGUACGUCGCUAGCAGCCCUCUCAACAUCAACCACAUUCCUAGGUGUUGGAGCACUCCUGCCCAUGAAAAAUGACAUAUUGUAUCACCGUCGGAGAAAGAUCAUUUGAGGUGAUAUUCAGGUGAAAGUAUCUGGGGUGAUAUCCGAGUGAAAGCAUUUGGGUAUGGAGAAAACCCUAGCCCAACUAGGAAUGGCAAUGGAGCAGGUUCGGGACAUGUCAUUCCCAUCCAUUCCCGCACCUGAUUAUAUAGUUAUUUCCCAUCCCCGGCACAAACCCAUGUCGAGGCAGGUUGAUUGGUCCCCAUCCUCGUUAACAAAAGAAUUAAUAACCCCAUCCUCGCCCCGUCCCGAAUGUCCAUUGAGCCCUAACCCUAAUUGGUGAUGAGUAGAUCUUAUACCUAAAUGCACUUUCCUUUCACUACAAAAUAACGAGAUUAUGAUAAUAUACCAAAUAUGAAAAAAUAAUAUAAAAGUUGAAUUUAACACCACAACAAUCAAUAAUUUUAAGCUCAUAGUUAGUUUAAAUGAUUCAAAAUUAAUGCAAAACAGGAAAAAAAAAAAUCAUCUGAACAAUUUAUAAGAGCAUAGAAUGAACAAUGAACCAAACGAAAAAUGGGUUACUAUCAGCCAUGGAUGUGAAUCCCUCUUCAAGCCAAUCUUUGAACCAAAACUUCAUCAAAUCCACUACUUCAAAGGUUUUCGCGUUCCUUUUGAGUUGUGCUCUCAAACAAAGACUUCAAGGGGAUGCUCUAGAUGAUUGUGUUGCACAUAUUUAGGGCAAGGAGACCGAAGUUUAUAACUAGUUUGAUGUCGCGAUAGAGGAGUUUUGGGCUCUGAGGCUAAACCAAGAGCAAAAUGGAAUUGAUUUCAGAGUAUUUUAGUUUGGUGUGAGGGAGGAAGAAAAAGUGGCAUUGAUCCUGGAGUUAGGGUUUUAGGUAGUGCAUUAGAGGAAGAAGAAGAAGUGGUUGUCGGAAUUAGGGCAAAUGGGAAGAAUGAAAGACAAUGUAUCAGAGGAAAAAGAAGAAGAAGGAGCGGUUGUCAGAAUUAGGGCCCGCAAAUAAGAAAGAAUGAAGUAUAUAUAUACAAGGAGUUUUUUGACAUUUUACUAGUAAUUAAAGGAUAAGUUUGUAAAUUUAUAUCUGGGGUUGGGCGGGGUGGGUUGGAACAAAAUCCAUACCCGUCUCAAACCCGAUUCAAAAUUUUAUAAUAUUUCUAAAUCCGACCUAUACCCAUUUUUUUAUAUUUCACACCUGUCCCAAUAGGGGCGGGGCAAAGCGGGUUACCCGGUUAGCCCACAAAAUUAUUGUCCCUAAGCCUAACUAUCCCAUUUAUAAUGAUGUCAAAUACUUUCGAUCCAUUUUGAUAAUGUCUGUUCAUUUUAUUCGGGUUUAGGUCAGUCAUGUAAACUUGAUUGAAGUCAUUUGACAUAGCCUAACUGAGGCAUCUAGAAAAAGCACCAGUCAAAAGAUGGCUCCCAACUUUGGUAGCAUCUAGAACGUGGCCUUGUAAUAUGUAAGUGGUGUUACAUAAUUUCAGGCGCAUGAAGAUGAACAUAUCAUUGAAGUGCAAAAUAUGCCUCCAUGUGUGCAAUGGUAAAUCAAAAUAAUUGGUUAUGUUAUCAUGGAUAUCAACCUAUAAAAGAGAAAACAAGCCAAUUAUAUGGGAUUAUUCUCUCUUACUCGACAUUCUGUGUACCAACAACACCUAUCUAUAAAGCUUCUCUAACAAAAAAUAAAAAUAAAAAUACAUACAUAUAUAUAUAUAUAUAUAUAUGUAUAUAUAUAUGUAUAUAUAUAUAUAUAUUUCCUUAUUAACCCAAAAAUUGUAAAAGAUUGCAAGUAAUUCCAAAACUUCCAUCAAGCAUAUUAUAUAUAUAUAUAUGCAGAAAAUUGCACAUCAUUGAAAGAUGUCUCAUAUCAUGUCACUCCCCAAGACCAACUCCAAGGGCGUGACGGUCAUUUCACACCUCAAACCCAAAGGCUUAAAGUGUAACCUGACCCAAACAAUUAUUUUAUAACUGGAAGUUACCAAUUACUAAAUACUUGUUUAGAAUAGCGGAACAAAAUUCUAAAAUCUUCAAAACUUAACUUCAAAACUAAGUAUCCAUCAACCAAAAUCCAUUAUCCAAAUAAAUUGUAAACUCAAACAAUUAAAGUGCUAACAAAAAUUUUCAUAAUCUCCAAAUCUCAACUUCAAACUAUCAUAAAAUAAAAAUAAAAAAAUUAAAAGUUCAAUAUCUAAAUAGCUUCCAAAAACCAAAUAAUCCAAAUGAACAUAAACUUAUAAGCUAAUAAUGUCCAAAAAUAACAUCCUAAGCAAAAUCCUAAUGAUGACCAUUCCCCAACCUAGCCAUCACUCCUUGCCCGAACUAAGGGUACCUGAAAAAUUAUCAACAAAGGGGAAUAAGCUUAAAGCCCAAUAAAGAAUAUUAAAACAAUUUCAUGGAUUAAAUAGUUUCAAUUAUACUUGCAAAUAGGAGAUCUAGUGUAAAAUCAUUUUCAUAAGAACGUUUGAGUACAGAUAUGCUAAUACAUUUGAAGGUGUUUAACAAAAUUUUUUCCUAUAUAUCAAAUCAUUUCAUAUCCAUUUCAAAUCAAAUACAUUUCAACUGUUUUCACUCUUAUUAUCAAAUAACAAAUAGUGCCCAUUUAAGUGGGACUUUACAAAUAGGUGGCUAGCCUCAGAUGUUCAUUUUUAAGGUGGACGGAACCAAAUACUAAUACAAUAAUAUAUUUGAUCCAUGCUUAAAAGCAAAAUUAACAAUUACACAUUUCAAACAACAUAUAUAUAUAUAUAUAUAUAUUUUCUUUUGCAAAAUCUGUAUUAAUUUCCCUUACCUCAAAAGAAGUCUUCAAAAACUUGGGAGAAAAAUCAUUCAGGAAAAUCUACUCUUCACCUAACAAAGUAUAAGAGAAAUAAUUAUUACUAUUUAUCUAAAAUUACAGGUUUGACAAUUCUAAAAUUUUAGGUAUUCAAAUUAAUGUUUUUAAUUAUGAAAGAUAAUUUAAUCUAUUCCUAUUUUAGAAAAAUUAAUAAAUUUCUAAUUCAUAUAAAACUUAAAUUUUAUUUUCAAUUUAUUUCUUUCUUAGGGCACAACAUAAUUUAAUUAAACUACAAUUUAUUCUACUAAUUAAAUUUUAUGCUACUUAUUAACUUACCCUCAUCAUUAGUAUAAUAAUAUUGAUAACUUCUAUUCUCUUACUUUCAGUUUUUUUUUCCACUAAACAUAAACUAUAUCCCCGACAAUUCUCCAUUAUUGCUAACAUAAUAUAAUAUAUAUAUUAACUAUCAAACACCAUCCGUACACAUUUUCUUUUAUUAUUAAUAUUACUAUUUUUUUUUCUUUUCCCCAUUCUUCAUCUUCCACAAGCACACAUUCUUAUUUCUUUCUUUCUUUUUUUUUUUAAAAAAAAAACUUCCUCUAAUGCACACGUGUUCUCUUUCUUUCUUUCUUUCUUUCCUUUUCUAAUCCCUUAAGCCACAUAUAACAAUAUAUUUAUUUACUCAUUUAUUUAUUUAUUUUUAAAAAAAUUCAUUACUUAGAUCUAUUCAUCUAAGAAAUUUUGAAUUUCCUUAUUUUUAUCAAUAAAACAAUCUAUAUUCCUAAUUUCAAUAUUUUGACCUAAAAGUUUUAAAUAGGUUAACCCUAACCUAAAUCGAAAUCUUCCGGAGAAUCAAUUUUUUUUUUUAAAAAAAAAACUUAAGAUUUCUCAAUUUCUAACAAUAAAACCACCAAUAAUCCUAAAUUUCCAAUAUUUUGACAUUAAAACGAAUUAAAAAAAAUAAACUAACCCUAAUCUAACUAAAUUUUUUUUUUCAAAGAAUAACUAGCGUAUUCAGAACUAACUAACGAAUAUAAUAUAUUAAUUUAAGGUUAGAAUUUUACUUGGAAAAAACCUGAACUUCAACUCUGAAUCUCUAACUCUUGAGCCAUACGAUAUCCAAUUCUCUACUUCUUGUUGAUAAGGUUUUCUGAAUGGAGAAGACAAGAGGAAAAGUCCAAUUUAUACCUAGGAUUUUUAAUUGUAAAAGGACUCUUUCACCCUUAAUGAAUUUAAUUAAUUACUUAAUUACUUUAUAAAUUACUAUUUUACCCCUAGAUUAAAAUUUGGGGUGUUACAUAUCAAGUACUUAAGUCGCUACUUCCAACUGGCUGGCAGCAAAAGCGCAAGUUCAUGGUGAGUUCUCUCUAUAUCCCAUAUAUCAUUGCUUUAAUUAUUAAAAAAAAAAGGUUUAGCGAUAAAGUUCAUAUUAUAUAUUAUUACAAAAAAAGGUCUUGUAAUUAGUUGUGUGUUUUAUUUUUGUAAUUCCUGAGAUCUUGUUAAAGUAUGAGAGAUAUGGAGACAGUUUGUUAUGUUUCCUUAGUUUUUUUCCUUAAUAAAAAGAAACUAAAAUUAAGUUGACAAAAGAAAAGUGUAUUCAAAUAAUACAUAAUUUAGUAAUAAAUGUUGAAUGAAGGAAAGCAACAAUUUCUAUCUUUCAACAUCCUAAUCAUUUUCAUUCUACAGGGUCGUCCCGUCCAUCGCUUUCUGAAACUGGGUGGAACCUUUGCGGCAUUAAAAUCAUUUAUUUUUGGGAGUAGAAUACCAGAUUGGAUAACGUAUCAGAGCUCAGGGAGUGAAGUAAAAGCAAAGCUACUUCCAAAUUGGUUUAAUUCCAACUUCCUGGGUUUUGCUUUUAGUUUUAUCAUUUUUGGCCACUUCUCUUCGCAUGUUCAUGUUAAAAGCGGAUGUCUCAUUUGAUUGGACAUCUAGUGAUGAUUCUUUCCCCAUUGAUAUCAUGAUUUUCGAUAUGAUUUUCUGUAAGAGAAGGUUGAAGUCGGAUCACAUGUGCCUGUUUUAUGUACCACUUCCCCAAUGGAGGAAUUGCUCUCAAAUCAAGGUAUCAUUUAUGGCAUACUCCAAGGAGGGUAAGAUUGAAAUUAAGAGGUGUGGGGUUGGUCUAGUGUACAAUAAUGAAGAUGGGAAUCACAACAAUCCCCUAAUGAUCCAAUUCAACUCUAUUUCCUCUCCUCCUCCUCCUCCUCCUAGUAAGUCAACCGUUGUCCUUGAAGAAAUCCAUGAGGAGGAACCUACAGGAAAUGGGUGCUCUAGUGUUAAUGGCUCAGAAGAAGAGAAUUCUGAAUACCAUAUUGCUGAUGAGGAGGAGCCCAGUACUGCAACUGCCGGCUCUGAGGAUCACUCUGAAUCAGAUAUCUUUGAAAUGCAGUUAUUAAUGAUGACAUCCCUUGAUUAGGAGAAACAGACCAGACAAAUGCUUAAUAUGCACCCAGAUCUUCCUAUUACAUCUCUUGGUGAGUUAUGUGUUACUUUUCUUUUAUUUUCUUUUCUGCUUUUCUUUCUUUUCUGAUUUUGAGUAGAUUUCUUAAUUAAGACCAAUCUUCCAGAACUUAAUUAACUGGGUUGAUGGAUUGGUGAGGGGAUUAUUCUAGUGAAGGAGGAGGAGCAGAAGCAAAGGCAGGAGAGUAGGGAAAAGGUUUUGUAACAGAACCCAAUCUUCCAGAAUCUAAUUGUUGUUGUAUUGUUUUUCUUCAUUCUACGUAACUAAAGGAUUCAUAGUACUCUAAUUUGUUAGAUUCUUCACUUGAUACAUUUAUCACAGGUUUCACUACAAUGUGAAGUAUCAGUUACUAUGCAACCAAGUGACUGCAUGCUUCAAAACCUCAGCAGAACUCAGAGCCUUACAUUUGAUUGCAUUCCUUUUACUAUCUCCACCUUGCAUCAUACUCCCUAUAUCUCAACAUAUUAAUAAGCUUCAAAACUCAAAUAGAGCCUGCAUUUGAUCUCACACUCUCUUGCUUGGCCUCACUUUUAUUUGGUUAUAAUUUAAAUAUGGUAUUUCUGGUUUGAUUUUCUUUCUCCAUUGUAGAACCGUAGUUUUUAAGUAGGUCAUAAGUAAAUUUGAGCCAUUCCUUUGUUUUUUGAGUUGAUUUCUAUGCCUCACCAUGCAACUUGUUGCUCUUAUUUUAUUUCUAUUUCACAUGUUGUUGGUAUGCUUAAGAAUGAUUGUAAGUGAGAAUUUGGGACUAAAAGGAAAAAAAUAAAAAAUAAAAAACUAAUAGUCAAAAAAUAGAAAAAUGGGAAAGUUGUGCUUUGGGCUUCCCAUCCUAACAUAAUAGCAUUUUCAAAACCCAACAAUGGGAAAUAUGAGAACCAACUUUUAAUAUGAAAAGUUUUAUCAUUUUUGUGCACUCUGAGCCUGCUCCAUCUUUUGUGCCCAAAUUGCCCCUCCGUUUCUCCAACUCAGAAUCCUCAACAUCAUCCUAACCUCCAUAUCACUCUUUCUCAUUUGGAAGCUUUCUCUCAUCUUUCUUCAUUUCCGAAUACCCAAAAUCUCUCAUUUCAGUUUAGAAACCCAAAUCCAAAACUCCAAGACGAUGUCAAAAUGCAUUUUUUUGGCUCAUCUAGGAGCCAUGGGAGUCCAAGAGAAUAUGAGAAGAAUGAAAUGGAGCUCGGGUGGAGAGAGUGGGUACCCAAAAAUCGAAACCCUAACCUCCAAAUGUGUCCUAGACUCGCAAAUUUGUGUCCAAGAUAGCUCUAUAAGCAAGAAAUAGCACCAAACAUCUCUCCUAGACCAUUAAAUCUGCGAAGCCCUUGAAGAACCAAAGGAAAUGGUGCAGAAAAUGAAGCACAAUAGACUCUUAAAGUAUUGGGUCCCGAUGAAUCGGUCAACCGGUCCUCAAUCGGUCAACCGGUUCUCGAUCGGUGACUAUACCUUAGAUACUACCUUAACUGACCUUAGGUACUACAUUAAUUAAACUUAGGUAUUACUUGUGUGAAGCCUCAAAACUUCAUUUAUGGAUAUUACUUACUUCAUUUAUGACCUUUAGAGCAUGUCAUUUUGUGAUUAAUUAGUGUGAUUAGUUGGUUUAACUUUGGUAUUUUGGUGACUGUAUCUUAGGUACUACCUUAAUAGCCCUAAGGUACUACAUUAAUCUACCUUAGGUACUACCUUAACUGACCUUAGGUACUACCUAAGUAAAACUUGGGUUCUACCUAUCUGAAGUCUCCGAACUUCAUUUGUGGAUAUUACUUACUUCAUUUAGCAAGAAAGAUAAAUAUUCUAUGUGAAAAAAAUUUAUGAGAAAAAGGAGAUAGAAAUGUGAAGAGAGACACUUGAUGAAAUAAGAAAACUCAUUACAGUAUAGAUGUAAGAAUGAGUAAAAACCACCUAAUAGAGAUACAAAGGUGAAGAUGAAGAUACAAAAAAUCCAUCAAUCAAGAAACUAAUCUUAGGGAAUUAAGCUCACAAAAAAUAUCUAUGUGACCUAAGUGGAAAGUGCCAAGGUGAAUUAAGUGGAAACUAAACCAAGAGAUAUCCAAGUGAUGAAAAAAUGGGCCAAGUGACUUAAGAGUACACCUAAUGGGCCAGCUGCAUCUAAAUGGGCCUAGGGUGACAAGAACACCAAAAAAACCAAUCGAUCGACCCGGUUAAGAAAAAGUCUCAAAUUUCGAUAGAGUGUCCCUCGAGGAAUAAGGAAUCCAACAAAAAAAACAGGUGAGCAAUUCCGAGCUUGGAUGAAGGAGAAAUAACUAAAACAAGCCAGAGUGCUCCCGACUUGGAUGGGCUUUAGCGAACUUCAACUGAACUAUAGUCUUUAUGAAGACCUUAACUUCUAACCUGUAGUAUGAUACAAACCAAGGAAUUGACCAUGAUGACAUUUCAUAAUAGACCAAAUGCUCGCACUAAAUUGAACCAUAGGUGGACUCACGUGAUGUCCAAAAACCGAUUAACUCCAACAAGAGCCCCAUGGCCAUGACAUACAAAGGUUGGGUGCGGGCAACACCCCAAGAUACAUGCAAGUGUCAAGGGACAAAAUUGAGGGUCUAUAGUAGGAAUUUGGAGUAUGAGCGGAAUAGGGAAAACAACCCUUGCUAGUGCUAUUUACAGAAAAAUCAGUGGUCACUUUGAAGUGUGCUGUUUUUUUUUAAAUGUUGAGGAGGAUUUGGAAAAUGAGGGUUUAAUAAGAUUACAACAAAAGUUUCUUGCUCAACUAUUGGAGGAAUCAAAUCUAAAUAUUAAGGUCCUUACAUUUAUAAAGGAAAGGAUCCACUAAAUAAAGGUCCUUAUUGUUCUUGAUAAUGAGAAUGAUCCAAUAAUAUUGAAAUGCUUCGUUGGAAAUCGGGAGUGGUUUGGUCGAGAUUUAAUUAUGAUGAUGCUCAAAGGUUCCUUUCACAUUAUUUGUUAAAACAUGAAAUUCUUAGAGAUUAUUUCAUGGAACUUUCAAGAGAAGUAAUAGGUUAUGCUCAAAGCCUCCCAUUGGCUCUAGAAGUUUUAGGCUCUUUUUUAUUUAGCAUGACCAAAGAAGAAUGGAGAAAUCAAUUAGACAAAUUGAAAAGUACCCCUAAAAUGAAAAUUCAAGAAGUACUUAAAGUAAGUUAUGAUGGGCUAGAUGACAAGGAGAAGAAUAUAUUUCUAGACAUUGCAUAUUUCUUUAAAGGAGAGAAUAAAAAUUAUGUAAUGGAAAUACUAGAUGGUUGUAGCUUCUUCUCACUUAGUGGAACACGAGCUCUCAUUGAUAGGUCACUCAUAACCAUUUUUUUCAAAUAAGUUGAUGAUGCAUGACCUAAUACAAGAAAUGGGUAGGGAAAUUGUUCAUCAACAAUUCCUUGAAGAGCUUGGUAAACGCAGUAGAUUAUGGUUCCAUGAAGAUAUCUAUGAUGUAUUGAAAAAAAAUAUGGUAAGAGCAAAAAAUAUAAAAUUUAUUUUUUGUAAACAAAUUAAGAUUAGAAAUCAAGAAUUAUUUUCAUUUAAAUAGUUAUGUGUCGAUAAAUUUUAAUCGAAAGAUACUCUUUGGAUAGAUACCCAUAUUUGCAUAGAUACCCUUUGAGAUCACUACCUAAUGAUUUUAAUCCAAAGAAUCUUGUUGACCUUUUCAUAUCUUAUAGUCACAUUAAAAAACUUUGGAAAGAAACUCGAAAUGUCUGGGGAGAGGAAAGGUUCCUUUUUUUUUUUUUAGGGUACUCCCGGGAACAGAUCCAGUGGAGACGGGGUGGGGCCUGUAGCUCAGAGGAUUAUGAUGUAUUCACAUUAUUUUCUUUAGAGACAUGUAACCUAAGUAACCUAACCCACACACCCAUUUCUAGUUUGUGAACUUGCUUUGUUGUUUAAGGAGACACAUGAUUUGUUCUCUUAUUUUGUUUUUACUUUUAAAUAUAAAUAAAAUAAACUGUAACCCCAAAACUCAAUUAAAAAAUUAGUUUUGAAAGACAAAUUUUAUUACCAUCCGAGUCUUGCUAUCGAGUGGGAUGUGUGAAAAAAAUAUUGGUUCCAAUGCAUUCACUAUUCAAACCAAACACUUUGCCUAAAUUUCCUUUUGGGUUUAUUUAUAAGUUUUCCUUAUUUUUCUAUUUGGAUCAUAUUUUGUACAAGAAUUUCCUAUUAUUAUAAAAUAUAAAAAAAAAAGUGCCAUAGUGAUGUUUUAUUUACAAAAAUAUGUUCAUCCCUUUAUAAAAUAUUCCUAUGUUGAUAUGUACUUAUAAUAUUAUAUUUCAUUAUACUCAUAAAAUUAGAUUUCAUUGUACGAUAAGGAAAAUUGUUAAAAAUAUUAUAUAAAUAUUAUAAAUUAGGAGGGAAACGGAGAUGAUCAUAUAAAGCUUAUACCGAGUAGGUAUACACAGGAGAAAAAAAUAAGACACUAAGUGGAGUGAAGGCUCAUGGUUCAAGGUGUAGGUACAAAGAUGAGGAGACUUUGCUGCAAUGCCCUUCAACUUUGGGUCAAGCUUGGAUUUCUGCAAUGAUGACUGGGUCAAGGUAGACUUUCACUUCAAGAUUGACCUUCGCUUGAACCUCAAAAGCUGAUUUAUCUUCUUCAACCUUUUUUAUGCAUCCAAGUUGUGCAAAAGCAACAUAUUUAAUGCUUCAAUACUGCCUUCAUCCAGGUUGAAAAUACCCCUUUGUGAAUUUUGCCUAUGGGACUGGGACCAUAAACCAAAGCACAAGUUACGUUAACUGCCGAAGCAGUCGAUUAAAUUCCUAAUUUUAAACACUACAUAAGGGAACAAGAAAUUCACCUAGAAGGGAACUCUGCCAUUUCCUUGGGGAGACUAAAUCUCUGACUUUCAACAACCCAUUGUAAAUAAUCAUCCUGGAAUAUGAGAAAGCAAGAAAAAACAUUCAGCCAAAAAACUGCAACACCAACACCACAACUAGUUUGGAUGUAGUGGUGGAAAGAAAAGCAUCAGUCAUUUGUUGACCUUGCCCUAAGAUAAUGCCAAGAACUUGUCUUUCUGCUUCACCGGGCUCAAUUGCAUGAGCAGCCAAUGCACUUAAUGCAGCCUGACAACUCAAAUAGUUUGAAACAGUAUUUAUGUUCAGCGGUGGACUAUAACAAGAAUGAAAAAACAAAAAAGAAAAAAGCAAUAAACUGGCAUGUGCAAAAUGCCACCUACUAUGGGAGUUCAAGAGAUCUGCAUAAGGUGCAACUGCAGUGUGAAGGCUGCAAAAGGCCACAUUCCAUCAUCCUUUCUUCGAUUUGCAUUUUUCGAUAUGUAAAUACAGAUCAAAGCAUCUUACAAAUACAGGAGGCCAUGAUCAAAAGACAUAAAAGCAGCAAAUAAAGGAAACAAAGGAACUCUUACCAAUCAAUCCAGACUUUGCAGUAGAUUCUCUAACGAAAAAGCCCUCACUGGACUUUUCAAUAGGGAAAGAGUAUACAAGGACCAAUGGACCCAGAGGAUGAAGAAAGUAUUCCAGCAAAGAGACUCUCACUGGAUUCUUCAACUGGGAACAAUGUUCAGGAAGAAGGAAACAGGUACCAAGUGAUACAGACAGCGAAGAAAGCAGUUCAACGAUGAUGCAUUCAGAAGGCUCUUCAACAGGGCAGAGUGCACAAGAAGCAGAAAAACUGAAACCAAUGGACUUGGAUUCUACAGAAGGCACUCCAUAUACAGCAGGCUCUUCAUUUUCAUUUUAUGCAGUAGUUUUAGAUUCAUAUGAUGCCAUAUUAGGAUUUGAAUCCAGGUCCCUGUACGUUUUUCCAUUGGUUGUCAAACUUGGGUUCUACCUUAGGUACUACCUUAACUGACCUUAGGUACUACCUAAGUAAAACUUGGGUUCUACCUAUCUGAAGUCUCCGAACUUCAUUUGUGGAUAUUACUUACUUCAUUUAGCAAGAAAGAUAAAUAUUCUAUGUGGAAAAAUUUAUGAGAAAAAUGAGAUAGAAAUGUGAGGAGAGACACUUGAUGAAAUAAGAAAACUCAUUACAGUAUAGAUGUAAGAAUGAGUAAAAACCACCUAAUAGAGAUACAAAGGUGAAGAUGAAGAUACAAAAAAUCCAUCAAUCAAGAAACUAAUCUUAGGGGAUUAAGCUCACAAAAAAUAUCUAAGUGACCUAUGUGACCUAAGUGGAAAGUGCCAAGGUGAAUUAAGUGGAAACUAAACCAAGGAGAUAUCCAAGUGAUCAAAAAACGUGCCAAGUGACUUAGGAGUACACCUAAUGGGCCAGCUGCAUCUAAAUGGGCCUAGGGUGACAAGAACACCAAAAAAACCAAUCGAUCGAUGCGGUUGAGAAAAAUUCUCAAAUUUUGAUAGAGUGUCCCUCGAGGAAUAAGUAAUCCAACAAAAAAAAAACAAGGUGCGCAAUUCCGAGCUCGGAUAAGAGAGAAAUAACUAAAACAAGCCAGAGUGCUCCCGACUUGGAUGGGCUUUAGCAAACUUCAACUGAACUACAAUCUUUAUGAAGACCUUAACUUCUAACCUGUAGUAUGAUACAAACCAAGGAAUUGACCAUGACGACAUUUCAUAAUGGACCAAAUGCUCGCACUAAAUCUAACCAUAGGUGGACUCACGUGAUGUCCGAAAACCGAUUAACCCCAACAAGGGCCCCAUGGUCGUGACAUACAAAGGUUGGGUGCGGGCGAUACCCCCAAGAUACAUGCAAGUGUCAAGGGACAAAAUUGAGGGUCUACAGUAGGAAUUUGGAGUAUGAGCGGAAUAGGGAAAACAACCCUUGCUAGUGCUAUUUACAGAAAAAUCAGUGGUCACUUUGAAGUGUGUUGUUUUUUUGAAAAUGUUGAGGAGGAUUUGGAAAAUGAGGGUUUAAUAAGAUUACAACAAAAGUUUCUUGCUCAACUAUUGGAGAAACCAAAUCUAAAUAUUAAGGUACUCAUAUCUAUAAAGGAAAGGCUUCACUCGAAAAAGGUCCUUAUUGUUCUUGAUAAUGAGAAUGAUCCAAUAAUAUUGAAAUGCUUGGUUGGAAACCAGGAGUGGUUUGGUCGAGAUUUAAUUAUGAUGAAGCUCAAAGGUUCCUUUCACAUUAUUUGUUAAAACAUGAAAUUCUUAGAGAUGAUUUCAUGGAACUUUCAAGAGAAGUAAUAGGUUAUGCUCAAAGCCUCCCAUUGGCUCUAGAAGUUUUAGGCUCUUUUUUAUUUAGCAUGACCAAAGAAGAAUGGAGAAAUCAAUUAGACAAAUUGAAAAGUACCCCUAAUAUGAAAAUUCAAGAAGUACUUAAAGUAAGUUAUGAUGGGCUAGAUGACAAGGAGAAAAAUAUAUUUCUAGACAUUGCAUGUUUCUUUAAAGGAGAAGAUAAAAAUUAUGUAAUGGAAAUACUAGAUGGUUGCAGCUUCUUCUCACUUAGUGGAACACGAGCUCUCAUUGAUAGGUCACUCAUAACCAUUUUUUCAAAUAAGUUGAUGAUGCAUGACCUAAUAAAAGAAAUGGGUAGGGAAAUUGUUCGUCAACAAUUCCUUGAAGAGCCUGGUAAACACAAUAGAUUAUAGUUCUAUGAAGAUAUCUAUGAUGUAUUGAAAAAAAAUAUGGGAAGAGCAAAAAAUAUAAAAUUUAUUUUUUGUAAACAAAUUAAGAUUAGAAAUCAAGAAUUAUUUUGAUUUAAAUAGUUAUGUGUUGAUAAAUUUUAAUCGAAAGAUACUCUUUGGAUAGAUACCCAUAUUUGCAUAGAUACCCUUUGAGAUCACUACCUAAUGAUUUUAAUCCAAAGAAUCUUGUUGAUCUUUUCAUAUCUUAUAGUCACAUUAAAAAACUUUGGAAAGAAAUAAAUGUAUGAUUAUGAUGUAUUCACAUUAUUUUCUUUAGAGACAUGUAACCUAAGUAACCUAACCCUCACACUCAUUUCUAGUUUGUGAACUUGCUUUGUUGUUUAAGGAGACACAUGAUUUGCUCUCUUAUUUUGUUUUUACUUUUAAAUAUAAAUAAAAUAAAUUGUAACCCCAAAACUCAAUUAAAAAAUUAGUUUUGAAAGACAAAUUUUGUUACCGUCCAAGUCUUGCUAUCGAGUGGGAUGCAUGAAAAAAAUAUUGGUUCCCAUGCAUUCCCUAUUCAAACCAAACACUUUGCCUAAAUUUUCUUUUGGGUGUAUUUAUAAGUUUUCCUUAUUUUUCUAUUUGAAUCAUAUUUUGUAAAAGAAUUUCCUAUUAUUAAAAAAAAAAAAAAAAGUGCCAUAGUGAUGUUUUAUUUGCAAAAAUAUGUUCAUCCCUUUAUAAAAUAUUCCUAUGUUGAUAUGUACUUAUAAAAUUAGAUUUCAUUGUACGAUAAGGAAAAUUGUUAAAAAUAUUAUAUAAAUAUUAUAAAUUAGGAGGGAAACGGAGAUGAUCAUAUAAAACUCAUACCGAGUAGGUAUACACAUGAAAAUAAGACACUAAGUCGAGUGAAGGCUCAUGAUUCAAGGUGUAGGCUCAUGGUUCAAGGCUCAUGGGCCUGGGACCAUAAACCAAAGCACAAGUUACAGUAACUGCCGAAGCAGUCGAUUAAAUUCCUAAUUUUAAACACUACAUAAGGGAACAAGAAAUUCAGCUAGAAGGGAACUCUGCCAUUUCCUUGGGGAGACUAAAUCUCUGACUUUCAACAACCCAUUGUAAAUAAUCAUCCUGGAAUAUGAGAAAGCAAGAUAAAGCAUUCAGCCAAAAAACUGCAACACCAACACCACAACUAGUUUGGAUGUAGUGGUGGAAAGAAGAGCAUCAGUCAUUUGUUGACCUUGCCCUAAGAUAAUGCCAAGAACUUGUCUUUCUGCUUCACCGGGCUCAAUUGCAUGAGCAGCCAAUGCACUUAAUGCAGCCUGACAACUCAAAUAGUUUGAAACAGUAUUUAUUUUCAGCGGUGGACUAUAACAAGAAUGAAAAAAAAAAAAGGAAAAAAAAAAAAGAAAAAUGCAAUAAACUGGCAUGUGCAAAAGAUCUGCAUAAGGUGCAACUGCAGUGUGAAGGUUGCAAAAGGCCACAUUCCAUCAUCCCUUCUUCGAUUUGCAUUUUUCGAUAUGUAAAUACAGAUCAAAGCAUCUUAGAAAUACAUAAAAGCAGCAAAUAAAGGAAACAAAGGAACUCUUACCAAUCAAUCCAGACUUUGCAGUAGAUUCUCUAACGAAAAAGCCCUCACUGGACUUUUCAAUAGGGAAAGAGUAUACAAGGACCAAUGGACCCAGAGGAUGAAGAAAGUAUUCCAGCAAAGAGACUCUCACUGGAUUCUUCAACUGGGAACAAUGUUCAGGAAGAAGGAAACAGGUACCAAGUGAUACAGACAGAGAAGAAAGCAGUUCAACGAUGAUGCAUUCAGAAGGCUCUUCAACAGGGCAGAGUGCACAAGAAGCAGAAAAACCGAAACCAAUGGACUUGGAUUCUACAGAAGGCACUCCAUAUACAGCAGGCUCUUCAUUUUCAUUUUAUGCAGUAGUUUUAGAUUCUUAUCCCACAUCUUUUUCUUCUCUUUCCUUCUGUCACCACAGUCAUAUGAUGCCAUAUUAGGAUUUGAAUCCAGGUCCCUGUACGUUUUUCCAUUGGUUGUCAAACUAAGAUCAUGGAAUUGUGCAUAUUGGUAUUCUUUAGAAUCAUAAAAGAGUAUAAUUUCAUAAUGGUCAUGAAAUAUUAUGAUCUCCUAUCCAAAUAAAGAACCAAACAAACAAAUCAUCCAAAUUAUAUCAAGAAGUAAAUUUUAAAAAAAUGCAAAAUCGCCAACCAUAAUAGUUGCAUCCCAGCCCUAGGUUUUCAUUACUGCAGGAACCCUGUAUCUCUAUUUUCUAUGCAUAGGUUCAACCACAAAGGAGCCUUUGUUUAUCAUCCAAGUAAAUAGGGAAACAACUGAAGAACAUGCUCAACCAGGAAAGCAGAACACUAAUUCUAUAAUAAGAUAGAAAUUACUCCAUCAAAGCUAAUGCCUCUGGAAGAAUAGACAAUCAGAUCCAACAACAGCAGCAAAGCAAAGACGUCAUACCUCAGGGCUUGAAAUCAGCAAAUCAUAAUGCCUCCACACCUCUGAAAUCAGCAUCAUGAAUCCCACCAGAUCUUAGGGCUUACUUUUGGACCUGAAACAUAGAAAUUACUUGGUAGUUAAACGACUCAACACUAUUCGGACUUUUUUAGGAGUAGAAGGCGAUCUGCCGCAGUAUUUGGAGGGCUGCGGCAGAUGAAAAGGGUUUUCUAUUUUUUAUUUUUCACGUCUCCUGCGUUUCCCUUUUGGUUACGAAGGCUAUUCCCUUCAUCCAAAAGAAGAAGCAUAAUAUUCCCAUAACCACUCCCACAAAGAAAAGCAAUCCAAAAGUAAAAGUGGGUUCAGAAUAAGAUAUAGCAUAUUUCGAUGGGUAACCUCUGAUUCUGAGUCAUGGUCACGUCCUCACAUUCAAUGGGUUCCCCCGCAGAGAUUUCUUUAAGGACAAGAGUUGACUCAUUAGGGGAGGAGUAGAGAAGAGAGAAUUGAAAUUCACCUCUUCAUUAACAUACAUUAAACCUAACCCACAUCUCUUAAUUUCAUAAUAGUUCGGCACGGACAUUAUUGCAAAUGUAGCCUUGAUGUGAAUGACUUGAUGCGGACUGAGUGAGGGUUGAACUGGUGCAAAAGUCAGAACCACAUGAUCCCCUUCAGCGAAAACACUAUUUUCCAUGGGGAAAGAAAUACCAGUUUCGAAAGAACGGCGACAUGUGCCAAAGUCCAAGAAAACACGUGCCCAAAACCAAUCAUCAUAAGCGACAGGAAACCGGCCACCGAAGACAAGAGCCAAUGCAAAACCCAGGCAGUUGGUAGACCAAUUUAGGGGUAGGUCUGCUUCAAUUACAUUCCUCGAGCUCUGAUACCUGAUCCAAUCUGGUAUUCUACUCCCAGGAAUCACAACACCGAAUGUAGAAUCCUGCAGAAAGAAAAUAAAUAAUGUCCAUGUUGAGAGAGCGAGAAAUUGCUACUUUCCCAUCUUGAUUCAUUCAACAUUUAUUUUACACUAUCAGUCUAAUUUAGUAAAACAGAACAAAGACUAAAAUAUGAGUUGUCUCCUCAUAUUUCAUACAGGCAAAAGCUUUUUAUUUUUUAUUUUUUAUUUUUUAUAACGAAAAUUGGAUUUAAAGAGAACUCACUAGGGAUUCGAGUUCCCGCGGUCUCAGCAGAGUAUGCACCUUCGUUGUAAGUAGCAAGUUGAGUAAUUCAGUUGUUCCCAACGAUGUGCAAUUUUUUGCAUUUAAAGAACGUAUGCUUGAUGGAAGCUGUGAAAGUGCCUCUAGUCUUUUACAAUUUCCCAACCGAAGCGUUUCCAGGUGAGAGAGUCCACUCAUGUUAGGCAAAGUGACAAAGUUGUUUCCACUUAAAUUUAACCAUUCAAGUGAAACUAAGAAGCCAAGGCCACUAACAUUUGCUCCAUCUGAUAUAUUGCAGUAACUUAAAUCUAGGUUCUUUAAAGAGCAUAAGUUUGAGGAAGAAGGUACCGUGAAACAAAUAGAAUUUGAACUUCUUUUUGGCCACAACCAUGAGGCAGAUGCUGGUCCUUUACAUCCACCGAAAGAUAACUUUUCAAGGUUUCUCAUGGAAAAAAAGGAGGGGGGUAGUACUCUUACCACAAUUCCAUCUGCGUGAAGCUCCUUCAACAUUUCUAAGUUCCCAAAAUUCUCUGGAAAUUCUUCAAAUUUGGAGCAACCAGAAAGAAUAAAGGUUUCAAGAGAUUUCAAACUACAAGUGCUGCUUGGAAGCCUUCUAAGCAUUGUGCAAUUUUUUAAACUCAAGAAAUUUAGCUUCUUCAAAACUCCAAGUGAUGGGUGAACCUUAGGCAAAUUUAUACAACCUUCUAAAACUAGACGUUCAAGGUUGGUGAUCCCUGAGAAAUCUGGAGUUUGUAUUAAGUACUUGGAGUGGCUGAGAUCUAUGGAUUUUAACCUUUCAAGAACCUGUCAUAAAAGAAAGUUAACUUAAAAAUUAGCUUCCCUAUAUAUUACAUACUUCCUAAACAAAAUAACAUGAGUUGUAGAUCAUAACAAUACCUUGAUUCCUUUCCAAAGUUUUUUAAUGUGACUAUAAGGCAUACUGAGCUCAACAAGAUGCUUUGGGCUGAAAUCCUUUGGUAAUGAUUUCAAAGAGUAUCCAUGCCAAUAUAAGUACCUCAAAUCAUUGGAACAAAACUUAAAUUCAUGGGCAAACCGCACUCUACAAUUCACCUUGUUGUUAAAGGUAUCUCUGAAGUCUCUUGAAAUACUCUUAGAAUUAUAGACUUUGAGCAAUCUAAGUUUUUUCAUCCCAGCAAAGGCUUCAAUGGUGAAGUCUAGUGUAUCUUCUAAAUGAGACAAGUUGAGGAAUAUGCCUUCAAUUUUUUCACUUCCCUACAAACCAAGAAGCAAAUUAAGUGAAAAGCAUUCAAAAUGCAAAAAAAUAACUAUAAUUUUAUCAACAUAUAACUACUUAAAAUAAAAUAAUUCUUAAUUUGUUCUACACAAAAUAAAUUUCGUGUUUUAUUUUUCUCUUACCAUAUUUCUUUUCAACACAUCAAAGAUAUCUUCAUGUUCCCACAAUCUACUUCGUCUUUCAGGCUCUUUUGGACAUUCUUGGCGAACAAUACCCUUACCCAUUUCUUGUAUUAAGUCAUGCAUCUCCAACUUGUUAGCAAAAUUAAUAGUUAUGAGAGACUUGUUAAUGAGAGUUUUUAUUCCACAUUUUGCAGAGAAGCCACAACCCUUCAGUAUUUCCACCACAUGAUCUUUGUCCUCUCCUUUAAAGAAACAUGCAAUAUCCAAAAAUAUAUUCUUCUCUUCAUCAUCUAGCCUAUCGUAACUUAAUCUAAGUACUUCCUGAAUUUCUAUAUUAGGAGUACUUUUUAGUUUGACCAAGUAAUCUCUCCACUCGUCUUUGUUCAUGCCAAAUAAAAGAGAACCUAAAACUCUAAGAGCCAAUGGAAGGCCUUUAGCAUAAAAUAUUAUUUCUCUUGAAAGCUCCUGUAAAUCAUUUUCAAGAAGUUCAUAUUUUAACGAAUGAUGUUUGAGGAACUCAAAUGCUUCAUCACCAUUAAAUUCUGCAACCUCAUAAUAAUCAACUUUAUGUUGAAUUAACAAACGUUGAUCCCGAGUAGUUACGAUAAUUCUACUCCCUUGACCAAACCAAUCUUGAUUUCCAGCUAAAUGUUCCAAUAUUGUUAGAUUAUUCACAUUAUCAAGAACAACAAGGACCUUUCUUGAGUGGAGCCUUGCUUUUAUAGAAGUGGAUCCUUUUAUUUUGAGAUUUUCUUCCUGCAAUAAUUGAGAAAGAAGUUUCUCUGCUAAACUAGUUAAAUCCUGCUCUUUGAAAUCAUUUGCAAUUUCAAGAAAGGAGCAAGCUUCAAAUUGGUUAGAAACUUGGCUAUAAAUAGCUCUAGCAAGGGUUGUUUUCCCUAUUCCACCCAUACCACAAAUUCCUACCAUCCGAACAUCAUCUGAUUGUAAACACAAUAGCAUUCUCAGUUUUUGAAUGCGGGACUGUAUUCCAACCAGGUUCUCUUCAGUAUCACUUGUCCAUGUAUUUAACAACUUCUUCAAAAGUUUUAUAACGAUUUCUUUUAUUAGCAGAGGCUCAUUCCUGCAAUAUUUGAACCAUAAACAUGUAUAAUAAGUUUAACUACCCACAAAAAGUUAGUAAGAGUAAAAAAAAAUAGCGGAAGAUGUCAUGAUCAUAUUAGUUGGUCCUAUAUCUAACUUUACAAAAUUCCAAUAAAUUUUUUUUUUGAAUUUUAUGAACUUUAUCCUCUAAUCAAAUAACAUUAAUUAAUAACAGGGUAUUCUUAUAGCCUCUGUAUUAUAAUAACUGACAAGUGAAUUAGCAAGAGCAUUCAAAGAGGCAUAUUUAAAAAUUUAAAACAAAAUUAAGAGAGAAAUAUUACUUGUUCCUUGAAUCCCAGCCAGAUAAAUUUGCAACUUCAGUCAGAGCGUCCCUCCAAAUUUUCACCCUCUCCCCGUUCUCCUCCAAAUUCUCUUCAUGUUUAGCCAAGGCUUCUCCAAAUUUUCCCAUGUGAUUCCGCACAUCUGAUGGAUCCACGUUGUAGAAAAUUGGUAGAACCCUCUCCUCCUUGGAUCUAUUGCAUUCUAGUAUCUUGACCAUCUCCUCCAAGCACCACCUAGAAGAUGCAUAGUUUUCCGACAAAACAAUGAUAGAAAACAUGGAGUUUUCAAUAGCUGUAAUGAGUGCAGGGGAUAUGACUCGACCUUUCUCGAGCUUAUCCUCAUCAAAGAAAGUGUUGAUUCCUUUGGUGCGCAACUCCUGAAGGAGAUGGGCAGUGAAAUUGUUGCGGGUGUCGUCUCCUCUGAAACUGAGGAAGACAUCAUAGCUCUUCUGAGAAGAAGAAAAAGCAGCAGCCAUUGGGAAGUAGCUAGAGAGUUGAAGUCGAAAUUAUCCAACAAAACAAAAGGAAUUCAGAAACACAACGCGAGAGGUCUUUGUAUCAUCAACGAGAAUUGAAUUGAAUAAUAGAGCUAAACCGGGAAGCAGAAAAGAAAAAGUAGCUACAAUUAAAGAACACAGGAGUGAGAAAUCUGAACAAGCGAAUAAGCAACGAUAAUAACUAAAAACAGUGACAGGGUUUGGUGAUGAAUCUGAUGAUGCUGAUACAAUCGAAGCCAAGCCUCACAGCACUGAGCAGUGAGUAGGAGGAAAGCACACGGCAAUUACAAGAAAAGAUGAAAGCCGGCUGAUAUUUGGUAAUGUAGAAUGGUCUUGUUGGGCCACAAGGCCCACAACCACAAGGCAAGCCGCGUAACCGUACUUGGUCGAAAAGGUUAAAAAAAAGUAUACUUCAAAAGAAGCCUCGACUCACCCACCAUGCUCCUGUCCUUUUGCUUUGCUUGUUCUUAGCACUUGUCUAUAUGUACAAUCCUCCGUUCAUCCCGUCAAAAUUUAAUCCAAUGGCCAGAGCCAACAGUACUUGAAUCCAAUGGUCAGGAAUAACCCCAUCUUAAUCCCAUGGCAAGAAAAAAAAUCCUGUUUUAAUUCAAGGGCCAGGUUUCGUCCCUUCUAAUUCAAAGGUUAGAUUUCAUCCCUUUUAAUUAAAAGGACAUAUUUAAUCCCUUUUUAAUUAGUCCAAGGAAUAUAAAGAAAUAUAAAAUCUCACUUUACUAUUGCAAAAAAAAAAAGUACUCUACACUAUUAGCUAUGAAAAAAGAGUUUAAAAAGGGAUAAACAAUUAGCCCAAAAAAAAUUGAAAACUUAAUUGUGGUGGUUUUAGUAUUGUUGAUAAGUUCUCAAUUACACCUAAACUUAAAUAUGAAUAAGUUUCAUUUAUAAAAAUUUUAGUUAAAAUUGAGUUCUCAAUUAGAAUAUUCACUUGCACUUAAUUAUGUUCAAGUUUCACCUACGAAGAACUUAAUUGAGGUUAAGUUCUCAUGUAAAACAUUCACUUAAAAUUAACUAUAAUUGAGUUAUAAUCUAUGAAGAACUUAAUGAAGGUUAAGUUCUCAAUCAAAAUAUUAACUUCAAUUUAAACUACUAUUGGUUUAGUUUCAUUUGUAUAAAUAAUAAUUCAAUUCCUAUUAAGUGCAUUUUAAACAUAGAUAAUUGCAAUAAAACUUAUGAAUAAACAUGUUAUAUUUUUCAUUCCAAGUAAUAAGUUCAUCCAAGUAUUUAAUAGUUUGUGAUUCUAUAAGAUUAAGUCUAUCAUAUUACUAUAAAUUUAUAUAAUUGUUCAUCCAAUAUAUUCACAAUAAUAAUUAACGUUGGACCUGCAUUAUUGGAUUGAAUUAAUCAUGGACCUAACCCCUGAAGUGUAUAUAUAUAUAUAUUAAACUAAUUGAUAUGUGUAUUAUAAUUUGUUUUAUUAUUUCUUAAUAUUUCAUCCAAAAUUUCUAUAUUUUAAAAAGUUGAUAAGGUGAUUUUCUCAAAAACAUUUUUAGAAAAACCACUUUUACUAAAAGCAUUUUAAAUAAAAACACUUAUCAAAUGCACUUUAAAAGUUUGUUUGACAAUACUUUUAGGAAAUAUUUAUAGUAUAAAAAUGUUUUCAAAAUAAAGAAUAAUGUGUUCGAAAAAAUUUAGAAAGUAUUUUUAAAUAAUUAAAAAAUCAUUUACAGUAUUUCUAGAAAAAAAACAUUUGACAGGUGAUUACUAUAAAAAUACUUUCAUUAAAAGUAUUCCAAAUAAAAAUAAUAUUAAACGCACCCUAGAUAAAUUUUUGAUUCUUUGAGAAAAUAUAUUUAUAUAUAUUGGAACAAACAUACAAUUAUAUAUGUUGCAUAUCAACACAUGAUGUAUCUUAGAAAAUAUGGUAUCCUUAUGCAAUGGUGGGGAAGAAAUGAAUAGGUGAUUCAUGCCCAAUUGGUGUCUCAGCUGAUUUGUGUUCAGCUGGUGCUCCUUGAUUGAGGAAGUGAUCAACAAAAUUUAUACCUAUAACACCAUACACUAGGGUAGCAAAUACAAAGCUACUAUAGUAUAGUGGCUCUAGGAUCGUUCACUGGGAAUGAUUUGCAAGCAAUCAAUGAUACCAAUUCCAAGUGAAUUGGUCUUGUUUCAUUUCACGGUUAGCUUAAGGAAUAAAACACAAACUUUGAUUUGUAAAGGUUGAGAUUUAAACUAACUAACUUAACAGAAGUUUGGAAUAAUUUAGGAAGAAAAACAUUCCUUGGAGAUUUAGGUUCACUGGGGUGGUUCCUCAUGCAAAAGACAUGGCUCCGGUCAGAUGGUUCAUUUCCUCGCAUUAGAGAUUCAACUUAGAGUCAAUUCUCUAACCGGUGAUGUACAGAGACUCCUUCAAUUAGAUUUCACUUUAAUUCUCUCAGUGAUGCAACUUGCAAUGGUUCAUGCCUCUCACGAGCACUUACCAUUCAAGGUGAUCUUUAACCUUGGACUUCCCUUCACAAACUCGCAAGAGAUAACUAAUGGAUGUCUCCUAGGAGUCCAAAAGCUUACCAAGUGUUGGUAAUUCCAGAAAAUCCUACCUUGAAGUCACCUACCAGAGGCUCGCAAGGGGUAAACUAGUGCAUUUCCACGAUUGGAAAUCACUUGCCUUACCAAGUGUUGGCCCAGGUGACUCCAAGGUGUUUUAAGUUAACUAAAAACAUUGAAAUCACUAAAGGAUUUCACUUCCUCUUCAUUACUAGCUAAAACCACAGAGCUUUGCAUUCUUGCACUUGGAACCUUCCCCGGCAACCUUAGCUCCAAGGAAUUGGAGGUUUAGUUACUCAUUCUCUGGGGAAAACUCCUCAGAGAAUUCAUAACUUAGAAAUACAAUGAAAAUACAAAGUGAGAAGGUAAGGCAGUAGAAAGAAAAUAGACUUUACUUGCUUACCAAACGUUUACAGAAGGAACUCCUCUCCGAGAACAGGCUCCCGAGAGGUAUAUAUAUCAAAACAAUAUAAAACUAAUUGUUACAAAGAUAUUUGGUCUUUUUACUAACUUAAAAACUAAGGAAUCAUGUAAUUGGUGGUUUACAAGGAGUAUUUUGGGAUUUAGACAACAAAAAUCUAAUGGAAAAUAUCUCCCAAUGUCGGUAGCAAGCUUCGGGAGGCUUCAGGAGCCAUUUCGCAGGAGAAAAGUGGUGUCUGCGAAAUUUCGCAGACACCCGAGAGGGCUACGAAAUUUUUUCGCAACACCAAGCUAUCUUCACCAGGCUGCAAAGUGAUUACUACUCAAAAAGUGCUAUUUGAUAGCCUUUAAUUAAUCCUUUUUAACACUUUUGAGUAGUAGUUUAGGCCUUUUAACUCAAUUGGCAUGUUAAGGAUCCUUUAAAGCAAUUUUGAUCACUUUGUGUAAGUUUUGGUGUUUUUGUUAGUAUUUUGAUCACCAAAGCAAGUCAAGAAUGAGGAGAGCUAUGAGGAAUCAUGGGCAAAGCUUAGAAUUCAAUUGCCAAGAGUGAAUCCGGAUUGCAAGGAGAAAAAGCAAAGAGGAUCAGUCAUGGAGCAUAUUCUUGAUGACAGUCGUAUCAGCCACUUUUGGAGCACUUUAUGAAGUCCAAAUGAUGCAAGCUAUAUACCAUUUCAAAGCUCAGGAAGUCAACAAUCCAAUGCUUCAAACGGUGUGUGAUUCGGAAUUGAAACGAAGAAGUUGCAGCCAUUACAAGCCAGACACUCUAAAGUGUUGCGGAAUCAGCCAUGUGUUGCGAGAAUUUCGCAGCACUUUUGUACAGUAAGGUGUUUCUCCUUCUAACGAUGCACGAACCAUGCCGCAAGAAGGGAGCUGGAAACUUCAAGAUGGAAGCCAACUUUGCAGCCUGGUGAAGAUAGCUCAGUCUUGCGAAAUAAUUUCGCAGCCCUCUUGGGUGUCUGCGAAAUUUCGCAGACACCACUUUUCUCCUGCGAAAUGGCUCCUGAAGCCUCCCGAAGCUUGCUACCGACAUUGGGAGAUAUUUUCCAUUAGAUUUUUGUUGUCUAAAUCCCAAAAUACUCCUUGUAAACCACCAAUUACAUGAUUCCUUAGUUUUUAAGUUAGUAAAAAGACCAAAUAUCUUUGUAACAAUUAGUUUUAUAUUUUGUUGAUAUAAAUACCUCUCGGGAGCCUGUUCUCAGGGAGGAGUUCCUUCUGUAACCAUUUUAGAAGCAAGUAAAGGUCUUUUCUUUCUACUGCCUUACCUUCUCACUUUGUAUUUUCAUUUUAUUUCUAAGUUAUGAAUUCUCUGAAGAGUUUUCCCCAGAGAAUGAGUAACUAAACCUCCAAUUCCUUGGAGCUAAGGUUGCCGGGGAAGGUUCCAAGUGCAAGAAUGCAAAGCUCUGUGGUUUUAGCUAGUAAUGAAGAGGAAAUAAAAUCCUUUAGUGAUUUCAAUGUUUUUAGUUAACUUAAAACACCUUAGAGUCACCUAGGCCAACACUUGGUAAGGCAAGUGAUUUCCAACCAUGGAAAUGCACUAGUUUACCCCUUACGAGCCUCUCGUAGGUGACUUCAAGGUAGGAUUUUCUGGAAUUACCAACACUUGGUAAGCUUUUGGACUCCUAGGAGACAUCCAUUAGUUAUCUCUUGCGAGUUUGUGAAGGGAAGUCCAAGGUUAAAGAUCACCUUGAAUGGUAAGUGCUCGUGAGAGGCAUGAACCAUUGCAAGUUGCAUCAGUGAGAGAAUUAAAGUGAAAUCUAAUUGAAGGAGUCUCUGUACAUCACCGGUUAGAGAAUUGACUAUAAGUUGAAUCUCUAAUGCGAGGAAAUGAACCAUCUGACCGGAGCUAUGUCUUUUGCAUGAGGAACCACCCCAGUGAACCUAAAUCUCCAAGGAAUGUUUUUCUUCCUAAAUUAUUCCAAACUUCUGUUAAGUUAGUUAGUUUAAGUCUCAACCUUUACCAAUCAAAAUUUUGUGUUUUAUUUCUUAAGCUAACCGUGAAAUGAAACAAGACCAAUUCACUUGGAAUUGGUAUCCUUGAUUGCUUGUUCAUCAUUCCCAGUGAACGAUCCUAGAGCCACUAUACUAUAGUAGCUUUGUAUUUGCUACCCUAGUGUAUGGUGUUAUAGGUAUAAAUUUUGUUGAUCACUUCCUCAAUCAAGGAGCACCAGCUGAAUACAAAUCAGCUGAGACACCAAUUGGGCAUGAGUCACAAAGUUGGCUUCCAUCUUGAGGUUUCCAGCUCCCUUCUCGCGGCAUGGUUCGUGCAUCGUCAGAAGGAGAAACACCUUACUGUACAAAAGUGCUGCGAAAUCACUUCGCAACAAAAGGGUGAUUUCGCAACACUUUGCAAAAUGCUUGCUUCAGCUCGGAGUGACUGGCUUGUAAUGGCUGCAACUUCUUCGUUUCAACUCCGAAUUGCACACCGUUUGAAGCAUUGGAUUGUUGACUUCCUGAGCUUUGAAAUGGUAUAUAGCAUGCAUCAUUUGGACUUCAGAAAGUGCUCCAAAAGUGGCUGCUACGACUAUCAUCAAGAAUAAGCUUCAUGGCAGAUUCUCUUCGCUUUUUCUCCUUGCAAUCCGGAUUCACUCUUGGCAAAUGAAUUCUAAACUUUGCCCAUGAUUCCUCAUAGCUCUCCUCAUUCUUGACUUGCUUCGGUGAUCAAUAUACUAUCAAAAACACCAAAACUUACACAAAGUGAUCAAAAUUGCUUUAAAGGAUCCUUAACAUGCCAAUUGAGUUAAAAGGCCUAAACUACUACUCAAAAGUGUUUAAAAGGAUUAAUUAUAGGCUAUCAAAUAGCACUUUUUGAGUAGUAAUCAAUAGGUAGUUUAUAUUUUCCUAAAAGAUGCAUGUGAGAUUAGUUAAAAAAUGCCUCUGCAAAGUUUGCCCUACUUUUGAUGCCGGCUUGCUCACCUACCAAGCAACCUCCUCUCUUCUUGUUUUAAAAUCUUCAAGCAUUUGUUAGAAGAUUCUUAAAAUUAUCUUCUUUUUUUUUAAUAAUAUCAAAUGAUGCACAGGAAUGGAACCCACCAAAAGCCUUGUGCAUGGCCGACGUGUUUGAUAUUUUAGAAUUUCUUUUUAAUAGACAAGCAUUUUCUCGCACAUCGAGUUUUGAAACUCACUUUUUCCUUUUUUAUUUGGUUUUGAAAAUGAGAUCAAAUAUAUGAAUAUUUUAAUUAAGGUUUAUAAAUGAAAUGAAAAUUUAACCUCAUUUAAAUGAAACUUAAUCACAUUACAACUCAAGUUUUCCACAAAUGAGAAGGAAACUUAACACUAGUUAACUUUUUUCUAAUAAAACUUAAUUAUAGUAUAGUUCAAAAUAUCAUUACGGUUGAAAGCUUAACUUUAUUUAGGUUUUUAUUAUUUUUUAUUUUUUAAAUUGAACUUAACUCCCAUGCAAUUAAGGUCAACACCCUAGGAAAUUAAUAAUAAAAAAGUGAAAUAAAAAUAUAAAUAUAUUAUAAAAAAAAGACGAAAUGAAUAUAAUAAUAAAAUAAAAAGAGAAAGUGAUUUUUUUUUUAGUCAAUACAGUUUGGAUGAACACCAAUAAAUGGUGGAUAGAGCAUUAUGAGAUGAUAAUUAACCAAAGUGUCUUGCAAAAAAUAAAGUAAAUUAAAAAUAUAAUGGAUGAUCAUGAAAUGAGAAAGAAGAAAAGUUUGAAGUCACGGUAUUUAAAGAUUUAGCCAUGUAGUGAGAGAGAGUAUGUUGGAAUCAAUGUUAGAGUGAAAAAGUAAAAAAAUGUUUGCAAGAUAAAUGAGUAGAAAAAAAAAAGAGCAAAAUAAAGGGAAUACGGUGCUUUUGGAGGAAAACAGUUUAAAAUGGUAAAAUAAUCCAAAAUAUAUCAUCUUUAAGCAAAAUUAAGGAAGAAGGUCAUUCUUACCAUUUGAUUAUUAUUUUAGCCUAUCAAACUAAAUAACCCAAAAAUAAAAUUCUAGAAAAACCAAUCAAUCGAUCAAUUUCAUCAACCGUUCUUUUAAUUUCAACAUUAAAUGAGAAGGUGUCUGGUUGGCUAUCCAACCACUCUAGCUUUAAAAAUAUAGUCGGCAAGUCUACCAAUAAAUUCUUAAUGGCCCAACCACCUCACUAUAAAUAAAUUAUACAAAAUAUUUAUGAAAUAAAUAAUAAACUUUAAUUUAUACAAAAUGUUUAUACAAAGUACUCUCAGCUUAUUACAAUUAAUGUUUUAAUACCCUUCAUUUAAAAAUAAAUUAUUUUUUAGUAUGUUUAGAUAAAAUAAGUGGGUCAACAAUGACCCUUCUUCUUCAAUGAUCUUACAUGCAUUUAAUUUACUUGUUGCAAAAUCCACUUGCUCAUUUAAUACACUGCAAGUAUUGCUGAGAGACUUGAUGUCUUCAAUCACAUGUGAAACUACUGCAUGUAUUAUCAUUUUUCACUGUUUUUAGUUAUUAUUAUACUAUUCCCAAUUCUCAUCUUCAGAUUUAUUUUAUUAUUUUUCUUUUUCAAAUAAUCAAAUUUAGUUUUCAGUUUGAUUACUCUUUUGCGACCUUGUCAUUUAGUCCAUUGGACCUUCAUUGGUAAGUUUGAAAAGAUUUGAGUAAAAACAAGUUAGUUUUUUUAUAAGAUAGGAUUGGAUUCGAAGUUUUAAUUGAGUUAAAAUAUGUUAAUUAAUUAAAAAAGAAUUUUAAAUUGAGAAUUAAAAAAAAUCAUCUUUUCAAAUAAUAAAAAUAAUUUGAAAAGAAAUUUUAAAUUGAGGAUUUAAAAUCAAGAUUUUUUUUUAAAAAAAUUCAAAUCUUUUAAGGAAAUUGGAAAAGAAAUUUAAAAAAGAAGUUAAAUUAAAAAUUUUAAAAAGAAUUUUUUUUCCAAAUAUUUUUAAAUUUAAAAUAUGAAAUCUAUCUAAAUCUUUUUAAAACUAUUAAGUUUCUAAAUUAUUUUUUUAAUAAAAUAUGAUUUAUAACUGAUUCCAAGUUUACUAGAUUUUCCCUUAUAAUAUAUAUCUUACCUAAAUGUGUUUUGAGAUGAAUGUCGUAAGAGAGUCGACCCUAACUUGCCCCAUAAUUCCCAAACUCUCAUAAUUUAUUAAUUGAAUUUUGAGUUGUACGUUAGGACCUGCUUUCCCAUAGAAGUUGAAAUGAAUCCAUUUGGAUUUGAGGUGUUGCAUCGUGGAUGUUGAUUAAGGUAUAGAUAUUAGAGAGUAAGUGGUAAAACCAUUAGGUAAAUUUAUAUAUUUUGACUUCAUAUGGUGGAUUAUUAGAUUAGAGGUCUUUAACCCCGUGAUUAUUUAUCUCCAUAAUUAGUGUACGGGUUUUCCUCAUAAAAUCUCUUUUAUCUCUUGUGUGUGAUUCAUUUUUUCAUUGAUUUCUUUCAUAUACUAGGGUUCAAUUGAGUUAAACAAGUUUAAAUCCCUUUCACAUAUUUAAUUGGGUUCAAAAUCUCAAUUCUUAUGUUAUAAUAUUUGAAAAACACUCAUUCACCUCCUUUGGUUGUUAGUCCUUUGGCUUUUAACUUUUUAAGUGAUUAUAAUUAUAUUCUUUGUAGAAUAAGGAAGAUUAGUAAGAAUAUCUUUAUAAAUAUUCUAUGUGAAAAAAUUUAUGAGAAAUAUGAAAUAGAAAUGUGGAAAAGCGAGAGACACUUGGUAAAAUAAGAAGGCUUAGUACACCGUACCGUAGAUGUAAGAAUGAGUAAGAACCACCUAAUAGAGAUAUAAAAGUGAAGAUGAAAAUACAAAGAAAUUCGAUAAUUAUAUCUAUUUUUUGUCCUUUAUUUCUUUUUCUAUCAUAUAAUGAAAUGUUUUAUUUCAUUCAUGGAGAUAGACAUAAUUGACUAUAUGCUAACACAAUAAGUAGUAUCAAAGUUUUAAAAAGAAUUUAAAAGAAAAUAUCCAAGUAAACUUUAUGGGUUUAAUAUGAAUAAAUUAAAUAUACAUUAUUAAUUUUUAUUUCUUUUUAUCUUGUAGUGAAAGUUUGAAUGACUGUCAGCUUUUUUAUGCCAUUUUGGUCUAAACCCACCACUUACUUGGAAAGACCCAUCUUCAUACGUAAUGUGGCAAUAUGUUUGAGAAUAAUUUCAAAGUUUAUUUUCAGCUAAUAAAAUCAAUUUUUAUAAAAAUAUAGCCAAGAGGAUGUUUCAUAUAUUUAAAUAUUAAGUACUUAAUUGUUGAAUUUUAAGUGUUAAAAACAAUGAGUGUUAAAAAUAUUAUCUAAAAUUUAAAUAUUGAAAAAAAAAAAGGGAAAAAAGACAGUGCUGCAAGUUGAAUGUCAUCUAGCUUGGGUUGAAUGGUGAACGCCCUCUCCUCGUCGAAGAAAAACUGCAAAACAAAGCAUGUCGGUGGAAGAAGUCUUUUAUGGCAUAUGCCUUGUUUGUCCAUAGGUGGAUUGGAAAAUAAUUGUGACCGAACGUGUAUGCUGCCUCAAAAUAAAAUCAAAAAUAAAAAAGAAAAGAAAAGAAGAAUUGAAUGGUCAAAUAGGAAAUAGGCCAUACCUUUCCCAGUUCACUUGUCUCAUUUCACUUGUCUCUUUUCCCUAUGAUAUGACAUGCGAAGCCAACAAUGUCAACAAACCCUUUUUUUUUCCUGCUUUGCCUUAUCUUUUCUCUUCUGUCGUUUAACGCGCUUGCCUCCUCACCACUUCUUUUAGCAGAGGGAGGAUUUUCUUGCUUGUAUCAUAGACGACAUCUUUGCCUUCAAUUAUUUCAAGUUUUGUGAGGAGACUUGGCUUCAAUUACAUUCACUUGCCACAGUGUUUAGUUGUUAUCAUUGAUCAUUCUCUUUCCAGAUUUCUCAGGUGUAUUAUUCAAUUAUAGCUAUUUUCAGAUUUGCAGUUCUCUUCGAUAAUACAAAGAGCUGACAUUUUGUCUCAGAAUUUCUUUGGUUUUGUUCAUGAAGUUUUUGGAUUAUAUAAAUCAAUUGUGAAACUUUCUCUUUCCUACAGGAUAAUUCAGACUUGACAACUCAUAUCUCAAGCUUCAUCUCUCUACUACUCGGUAAUGGCUUCUGCGGCUGCUGCUUCUUCUUCUUCUCAAAGGCGCUAUGAUGUGUUCCUCAGCUUCAGAGGAGAAGACACCCGCAAUAACUUCACUGCCCAUCUCUAUCACGCCUUGUGCCAGAAAGGAAUCAACACUUUCAUCGAUGAUGACAAGCUUGAGAGAGGCCAAGUCAUAUCUCCUGCCCUUGUUGCAGCUAUCGAAAACUCCAUGUAUUCGAUAGUUGUUUUGUCGAAAAAUUAUGCAUCCUCUAGAUGGUGUUUACAGGAAUUGGUGAAGAUAGUAGAGUGCAUGAAAAGCAAGAGACAGAUGGUUUUCCCAAUUUUCUACGAUGUGGAUCCCUCGGAAGUGAGAAGACACAGGGGUACAUUUGGGGAAGCAUUGGCUAAACAUGAAGAGAACUCUGAGAACAUGGAGAGGGUGGAGAGUUGGAAGGAUGCUCUCACUCAAGUUGCAAAUUUAUCUGGUUGGGAUUCAAGAAAUAAGUAAUUUUCUUUUCACUCUUAUUUUUAUUUUGUGAAGGACCGGAUACAUAGAAUUCAGAACUUUUUUUGUACAUAAGGGUAGAUUUAAUAUUGACUAUGUCUUCACACAUCUUCUCAUAUUUCCGUUAUUUUUAUUAUCUUUUUGUGGAUAGCUAGACUUAUUAUGUGUUUAUGCUUCAAAUAUGGCAGGAAUGAGCAUCUACUAAUCAAGGGAAUCGUCACAGAUAUUUUGAAUAAGUUGUUAACUACAUCUAUUAGUGAUACCGUAAAUUUGGUUGGAAUAGAUGCUCGCAUGCAAGAAAUAGAAAUGCGAUUAUGUUUGGAGUUUGAUGAUUUUCUGAUGGUAGGAAUUUGGGGCAUGGGCGGAAUAGGGAAAACAACCCUUGCUAGAGCUAUUUACAGAAAAAUCAGGGGUCAAUUUGAAGCAUGCUGUUUUUUUGAAAAUGUUGAGGAGGAUUUGGCAAAUGAGGGUUUAAUAAAAUUACAACAAAAGUUUCUAGCUCAACUAUUGGAGGAACCAAAUCUAAAUAUGAAGGCACUCACAUCUAUAAAGGAAAGGCUCCACUUGAAAAAAGUCCUUAUUGUUCUUGAUAAUGUGAAUGAUCCAAUAAUAUUGAAAUGCUUGGUUGGAAACCGGGAUUGGUUUGGUCAAGGAAGUAGAAUUAUUAUAACCACUAGGGAUGAACGUUUGUUAAUUUCACAUGGAGUACUCAAUUGUUAUGAGGCUCGGAGAUUUAAUUAUGAUGAAGCUAAAAGGUUCCUUUCACAUUAUUUGUUAAAACAUGAAAUUCUUAGAGAUGAUUUCAUUGAACUUUCAAGAGAAGUAAUAGGUUAUGCUCAAGGCCUCCCAUUGGCUCUAGAAGUUUUAGGUUCUUUUUUAUUUAGCAUGACCAAAGAAGAAUGGAGAAAUCAAUUAGACAAACUGAAAAGUACCCCUAAUAUGAAAAUUCAAGAAGUACUUAAAGUAAGUUAUAAGGGGCUAGAUGAUAAGGAGAAGAAUAUAUUUCUAGACAUUGCAUGUUUCUUUAAAGGAGAGGAUAAAGAUUAUGUAAUGGAAAUACUAGAUGGUUGCGGCUUCUUCUCACUUAGUGGAAUACGAGCUCUCAUUGAGAAGACACUCAUAACUAUUUCUUGGAAUAAUAAGUUAAUGAUGCAUGACUUGAUACAAGAAAUGGGAAGGGAAAUUGUUCGUCAACAAUCCCUUGAAGAGCCUAGUAAACGCAGUAGAUUAUGGUUCCAUGAAGAUAUCUAUGAUGUAUUGCAAAAAAAUACGGUAAGUGCAAAAAAUAUAUAUGAAAUUUAUUUCAUGUAGCACAAAUUAAGAUAAGAAAUCAAGAAUUAUUUUGCUUUCAAUAUUUAUAUGUUAACAAACUUUAGUGAGCUUUUAUGCACUAUGCAUGCUUUUUACUUACUCAAUUUCUUGGCUUGUAGGCAACUGAAAAAAUUGAAGGCAUAUUCCUCAACUUGUCUCAUUUAGAAGAGAUGCUAGACUUUACCACUCAAGCCCUUGCAAGGAUGAAUAGACUUAGAUUGCUCAAAGUCUAUAAAUCUAAAAAUAUUUCAAGAAACUUCAAAGAUAUCUCCAAUAUGGAGAAUUGCAAAGUGAACUUUUCCAAGGACUUUAAAUUUUGUUACCAUGAAUUGAGGUGCCUAUAUUUUUAUGGAUACUCUUUGAAAUCAUUGCCCAUUGACUUCAAUCCAAAGAAUCUUGUUGAACUCAGCAUGCCUUAUAGUCACAUUAAACAACUUUGGAAAGGAUUGAAGGUAAAUUUAUGAUCUACCCAUGUUAUUAUCUUUAGAGAGUAUGUAAUGUUUAUGAAAGCUACUUUUAAAGUCAAGUUUCUUUCAUGGCAGGUUCUUGAAAAGUUAAAAUUCAUGGAUCUCAGUCACUCCAAGUACUUAAUAGAAACUCCAAAUUUUCAAGGAGUCACCAACCUUAAGCGGUUAGUUUUGGAAGACUGUGUGUCUUUACGUAAGGUUCAUUCAUCACUUGGAGAUCUGAAGAAUCUUAGUUUCUUGAAUUUGAAAAAUUGCAAAAUGCUAAAGAGUCUUCCAAGCAGCACUUGUGAUUUGAAAUCUCUUGAAACAUUUAUUCUUUCUGGUUGCUCCAAAUUUGAAGGAUUUCCUGAGAACUUUGGAAGCUUAGAAAUGUUGAAGGAACUUUAUGCAGAUGAAAUUGCUAUAAGAGUACUUCCCUCCUCUUUUUCUUUCUUAAGAAACCUUAAAAUAUUAUCGUUUAAGGGAUGUAAAGGACCAUUAUCUACCUUAUGGUUGUUGCCAAGAAGAACUUCAAAUUCCAUCGGUUCCAUAUUGCAACCUUUGUCUGGUUUAUGCUCUUUAACAACGCUAAACCUAAGUAACUGCAAUUUAUCGGAUGAACCAAACCUUAGCAGUCUUGGCUUCUUAUCAUCGUUGGAAGACUUACAUUUAGGUGGGAACGACUUUGUUACUUUGCCUUCAACCAUCAGUCGACUUUCUAACCUAAAACGGCUGGAGUUGGAAAACUGUAGAAGACUGCAAGCACUUCCAGAACUCCCAUCAAGCAUAUAUCAUAUUUAUGCAGAAAAUUGCACAUCAUUGAAAGGCGGCUCACAUCAAGUACUUAAGUCACUACUUCCAACUGGCAAGCACCAAAAGCGCAAGUUCAUGGUGAGUUCUCUCUAUAUCCCAUAAAUCAUUGCUUUAAUUAUUAAAAAAAGGUCUUGCAAUAAAGUUCAUAUUAUAUAUUAUUACAAAAAAUGGUUCUGUAAUAAGUUGUGUUUUAUUUUUAUAAUUGCUGAGAUCUUGUUGAAGUAUGAAAGAUAUGGAGACAGUUUGUUAUGUUUCCUUUUACUUUUUUUCCUUAUAAAAAGUACUUAAAAUUUAAAUUGACAAAAGGAAAGUGUAUUCAAAUAAUAUUAGUAAUAAAUGAUGAAUGAAGGAAAGCAACAAUUUCUAUCUUUCGACACCCUAAUCAUUUUCAUUCUACAGGGUUACUUCGUGGCAUCAAUAGCAUCAAUGGCAUUUAUUCCUGGAAGUAGAAUACCUGAUUGGGUAACAUAUCAAAGCUCAGGGAGUGAAGUAAAAGCAGAGCUACCUCCAAAUUGGUUUAAUUCCAACCUUCUGGGUUUUGCUUUGAGUGUUGUCAUUUUUCCCCAAGUCUGCUACUCGACCAUUGUUUCAAUGACGGUCUCAUUUGACAAUUCUUCCUCCUUUGAAAUCGGUCCUCGUAUGCUUCACUUUAAUGGAAGGUUGGAGUCGGAUCACGUGUGCCUGUUUUAUUUACGACUUCACCAGCUGAUGAGCAAUUGCUCUCAAGUGACUCGCUUGAAGAUAUCAUUUAAAACAUUCCCCAUGGGGGGUCAGAUUGAAAUUAAGAGGUGUGGGGUUGGUCUAGUGUACAGUAAUGAAGAUGGGGUAGGCGACAGUCCCCCAAUGAUCCAAUUCAACUCUAUCUCCUCUCCUCCUCCCCCUCCCCCUCCUCCUAAUAAGUCAACUGUUGUCCUUGAAGAAAUCCAUGAGGGGGAACCCAGUGGAAAUGGGUGCUCUAAUGUUGAUGGCUCAGAAGAAGAGAAUUCUGAAUACCAUACUGCUGAUGAGGAGGAACCCAGUACUGCAACUGCCUGCUCUGAGGAUCACUCUGAAUCAGUUAUGCGGCCACAGAAACGCUUGAAAUGCAGGCAUUAAUGAGGACAUCCCUUGAUCAGGAGAAACAGUCCAGACAAAAGCUUAAUAUGCACCCAAAUCUUCCCAUAAUAUCUCUUGGUGGGUUGUGUGUUUCUUUUCUGCUUUUCUUUCUUGUCUGAUUUUGAGUAGAUGUCUUAAUUAGGAUACGUUAGAACUGUUUAAAGCAAGAGUUAAAAUAUCCCAUAACACUGUUCUAAAUUAGAUUUGCUUAGAAUUACUCUCCCAUCAAUUCCUGAAACAAUUUGAUGAACAAGUGAUAUUUUUUCUCACGCAUCUUCAAUUUCAUGUGUUAAGAUACAAAUGAUUGCACAUCACUAGAAUCAUUGCUGAGUCUAUUUGUAUUUAUGCAUUCUCAUUUACUAAUCGUGGCAACUAAUCACAGAGUCCCCAUGUCUGUCUCUAGGUUGAUCGUCUUCAGUGGAUAUACGAAUGCCUCCAUAUUGCUCUUGCAGUGGGCAAUGCAAUGCAAUUAACUGGGAUGAUGGAUUGAUGAGGGGAUUAUUCUAGUGAAGGAGCAGGAGCAGAAGCAGAGCUAGAAGGAUAGUAGAGAAAAGGUCUUGUAACAGAACCCAAUCUUCCAGAAUCUAAUUGUUGUUGCAUUGUUUUUCUUCAUUCUACGUAACUAUAGUAUUCACAGUACUCUAAUUUGUUAGAUUCUUCACUCAAUACAUUUAUCACUGGUUUCACUACUAUGUGAAGUAUUAGUUACUGUGCAGCAAAGUCACUGCAUGCUUCAAAACCUCAGCACAACCCAGAGCCUUUGCAUUCCUUUUAUUAUCUCUACCUUACAUCAUACUUCAAAAGUCUGCAUUUGAUCUCACACACUCUUGCUUGUCCGCACUUCUAUUUGGUUAUAAUUUAAAUAUGGUAUUUCUUGUCCGAUUUUCUCUCCAUUGUAGAACUGUAGAUUUUAGGUAGGUCAUAAGUAAAUUUGAGUCAUUCAUUUGUUUUUUGAGUUGAUUUCUAUGCCUCACCAUGUAAUUUAUUUCUCUUUUUUUUUUUUUCACAUGCUAUUGGUAUGCUUAAGAAUGAAAAGUCAAAAUUGGAAUUAAAAGGAAAAAAAAAAAUUGUGGUGAUGACUUUGACAAAAAGUUAAAAUUGGAGCAUGUUAAUGAUUGAAAGGGAAAUUUGUUAUUAGUAUUAGACAAUGCUUGUAAUAUUAUUUGUUAGUAAAAUAACUAACUUGGUGUUUUAAUAGAUUUUCUGUUUUUUAUUUUAAAAAAGAAAAAGGCAGAAAAUUUUGAAAGCAAUUUUAAAAUUUCUAUAUUUUAUACUAGAAGUCUUAUAUUCAUAUAGGAGGGCUAUUGCAAUUCUUUUUUUAAAAGAAGAAUAAUAAUAAUAAUAGUAAUAAUUUCUAUAUAAAAUAUAGGAACUUUUAUAUUGAAAGAUAAUAGUUUUCAAAAAUUAUUUAAAAGAAUGUGAAUAUGAAUUACUUCCAAUAAUAGAGAAGUCUAUUUUUAUAAGAGGUAAGUUACUAAUAUUUUAUUUUUUUAAAAUAAAAAAUAAGAAAAUAACUCAAACCAUACUUAAAAUUUUAAAAUAUACUAACUAACAACAUUAAUAGAAACACAUGCAAUAUGGACUUUUUUUGGUAUAACUACAAUGGUUGGUUGGCCCUUUCUCCAACUAUCUCUAACCCCUCUUCCUUUUGCACAACCUCAACUUACUUGGCCUUGACUAAAUGGGAAGCACUUUGUCAAGUUUAUUUUUUAUCCACGUAUAGAAGGAUCCUCUAUCAUGUGUAAUUAUAUCUUUUUUUUUUUUUUUUUUUGAUGAUUUCAAAACAAAGUUUUAAAACAUAAAAUAAAAUAAACUAUGUAGAAUAAAUGAGAUGAAACAAAUAUGACAAAUUUUCAAAUUUUUCUUAUUUGACAUUUUUUUUUUCUAGGAAUGGGAUGAUAUGUUUGAAUAAUUAAACAGGGUAGAGAUAUAGUUGACUCAUCUUAGACCCACCCAAUUACAUAUCUAUCAAGGAGUAACAUAAUAAUAAUAAUAAUAAUAAUAAUAAUAAUAAUAAUAAUAAUAAUAGAUAAUGAUAAUAUGUUGGUGAAAUUAAUAAUAAUAAAAAUACUAAUAGGAUAAUAAUAUUAAUAUCAAUAUUAUAAAAUUAAUAAUAUUCAUACUAUUAGUAUAGAUGAUAAUAGUAAUAAUUUUGGUAUUUUUUUUGUAUAAUCAAUGAGUCAAAUGUCAUUCACUUUAAUUAUAUAAAAAGUUAAAAGUGGAUUUUUACCUUAUAUAGAAAGUUGAAGGCUUUUUUUAAUUAAUUCUCUUUUUUCUUAAGACUUUGGCAUGAAAAAUAAAAAGUAUGAAUGAUUGAAGGGGCCUUUUAUCUUUAUAACUUCAUCCUUUUUUUUCCCUUUCAAUGUAAGUCCACCCACCAUGUACUUUUUUCCUCUCCAUUUUGCAUGAUUCUCCCAAAAUGAUAUAGGACACUCUCCACCAUCCACCCUCCUUCAUGGAUUCCAUAGCCCCAAAACAUCAUUUUUUGUUUAUGAACACACCAUUCAUAAACAAAUGCUUAAUCCUAAAUCCAUCAUACAAGUUUGGGAAAAGUAGACCCACAAGCCAAUAGCCCAAUAAAGCGUUUCUUUUUUACUUUUACGUGUAAUGCAUGGAGGCUUCAUAUUUUCUUCUAUUACUCAACAUGCUUUCCUCCUCCUGCUUCAAUUACAUCUGCAGCAUCACAUUGUGGUUUAGUUGUUACUAUUGUUCAUUUUCUUGUUCAUAUCUCACAACUGUAUUCUCAAAUUUAGUUUUAUCAUUCAAUUGUGGUGGAUGUAAAUGAGUUUUUGGAAUUAUAUAAAUGAAUUGGGGAACUUAGUCUUUCUUGUAGGAUAAUUGCCUACUGGUUCAUAUCUCUCUAUUGCUUGGUUUGAAGAAGAGAAAAAGCCAAAAAAAAAUUAAUUUCAUUCAAAGAACUUAAGAUUCAAAUAGAUUUUCAAAUAUCAGAGUCUAUAAAAUAUUGCUUUUUGUAUAAAAUUGGCAAGUUCAAUUAGUCUCAUAUGACAUUGCAAGACAAUAAUGUGGGGAAAAGCAAACCCACAAAGCCGACCAAUAGGUCAACAAAGCACUUCUUUUCUACUUGAAUUGUAACACAUCACACAUGACUUCAUCAUUUUCUUCUAUCGUUCAAUGCGCUUUCCACCUCGCGACAAGCAGAUUCAGGAUUUUCUUAGUUGCCUAAAAUAUUUGAAGUUUUGUUGUGAGACAUCUGCAGCAUCAGAUUGUGCUUAAUUAUUAUUAUUGCUCAUUUUCUUAUUCAAAUCUCACAAUUAUAUUCUCAAAUUUGUAAUUAAUUAAGCAAAUUUAGCUUUAUUAUUCAAUUGUGGUGGUUCAUAUAUACCUUUGUUUUUGGGAUUAUAUAAAUGAAUUUUUGAAUUUUUCCUUUCCUAUAGGAUAAUUUAGAAUUCAAACUUUCCAAUAACCAAAUAUAGACUAAUGAGGUUUUAGAUGACUUCUUUUUUAUAUGAUAUUUAUUGAGAUAUGGAGUCUUAAGGGGUUAGGUUAAUCUAAUGUUUAAUAUAUAUAUAUAAAUAAAAAUAUCGAUGCUCAGAUUUUAUAUAAAUAUCAAUGAAAGUAUUAAUAUUGCUAAAAUUUUUAUAACAAUGAAAAAAACAAGGGAAAAUGAUAAAAAAUAAUCCCUUAAAAAUUUUAUAUGAAACGUUGAAAAAUACAUAUAUUAAAUUAGUAUUUUUUUUAAAUAUAUGUAUAUUAAAAUUGUUGCGAUUGAUUGGUAAUCUAAUGUGCAAUAUACUAUUAAUGUUCUAUAUAUACAAAAUCUUGUAAAAUAUAUGGUCAUUGUGCACAAGGGAUGAAGUCUAGCUGUUGGAUAAAUCAUGGAUGAAGUUUGGCCGUUGAAUGUUCAGAAGAUGAAAUCUAGCCGUUGGAUUAAAAAGGGAUGAUGUCAUUGUCACAUGGAAAGUAAAAGCAAGGCAACUAAGUGGAGGCAAUGGUUUUAUUUCGACCUUCAACGUGCUUUCCUCCUCUUCACCGCAUGCUGAUGGGGCCUUUUCUUUACUUGUUGCAGAAGCAACUUAUUCCCCUCGUAUGCUGCAAGUUUUGUAGUCAUCAUCGCCAAACACUUGUCACAGUUGUUAGUUAUUAGUAUUGGUCAUUCUCUUGUGUUCAGAUUUCUCACGGUAGCAUUCUUCAAUUAUAGCUCUUUUUCCAUUUCUGCUUUGAAAUUAAGAACAUUUAGCUUUAUCAUUCACUUAUUGUUAGCUGUACAAAGCUACAACUAACAUUUUGCUUCAUAAUUUCUUUUGUUUUGUUCAUGGAGUUUUUGGAAUUAUAUAAAUCAAUUAUGAGCCUACAUAUUAAUAUUAAUUGUAUAUGUGUGCUAUCUGUUAUUAGCAUAUUAAAAAUAUCAUUUAAAUUAAUUAAUUUAUUAGACUUAUAAGGCAUCUUUAAAUGGAACGUAUUGCUAUUCUCCUCACAUCCCUUCGUUGAGUGAAAUUUAAGUAACUCCAUUAUUACACUCCAAUAGAUAUAGGUAUGCUUUCUUAUUAAUUUUCUUGAUGAUUCAUUCUUCCUUAUUAUUUAGAUUUUCCAAAUUCUUUAUUCAAUUACGACAUAAAAGAAAUAUUAUUGAGUAGCCUACUUCCCUUCGAAUGAUGAAUCCCCUUAAACUUAAAUUAAAAAUUAAAGAAGUACCUUACCAUUCAUAAGGGAUUUACUUGUCUAUGUAUCGUUUCAUUCGAUCUUUUUAGGUCCUGACUUCAUCUCCAUGGUUAUGCCACGAUGCCCUUAAAGCCUAUAUGCGAUGGAUAGACUCCUAUAACCAUGACAUAUUUGUUUACUUGAACAUAUUUAGCAUGAGAUUCUUGGACAGUGAAUAAAUGUUUUAUCAUUUAUCAAUUUUCUAAUAAUUAGUGUGCGAUAAAGUUCUUGGGUGUGUUUUCUCUAAAGCUGAGGAAAACAUCAUGCUUGCGCUGAGAAGAAGAAAAAGUUGCAGCACACAUUAUGGAGAAGUAAAGAGAUGAAGAGAUUUGAGUUACCACUCCAAAUUACCUGUAGAGAAAAGUGCUUCUAUUGAUUAAUAUAAUUCUGAAAAGGAGAACAAGAAGCAAAAGAUUGAACCUGCGGAUCUAAGAAUUACAGAUGUUGGUGAGAAAUCCAAGCCAUGCCUCACUUCCACUAAAUGAGAGAUUUGAGUGGACUUGCUGAAGACUUGUACUACAACAUAAAGUAAAUAAAGGGGUCCAUUUCUUCUGCAAAUUGGUCCUGGAAGCGUGUUAGAGGAUAAAUGAAAGAAAAUGUGAUAGAAGAAGCAAGACAAGACACUGUAAAGAUAAUCAUGUGAUGUGUGAAAAGGAGAAAAAUAAUGAGAUGCGCAGAGCACACUGCAACGGGCCGCUCCAAUAAUGAGAUGCGGCCAAAGUAAUGCUCGGAAUGCAGGCAUUAUUAGGACAACCCACUUCCAUCGAACCAAAAUAUACAAUUGAGUCAUUUUCAAGCCCAUUUAUAUGCACAUUUGAGUGUUGUUUGGAUUAAGUUUCCUUGUUUUUAAAAAAUGUUUUUUAUUUUUUAAAAACACAAAGUAGCAGUAACUCAACUCUUAUAGAAAAUACAUGAAUAAAUAAUCUUCAUAUAUUCUUAAAACCUACCAUGAAACUAAGACAAAAGAUUCUGUUUUUAAAAAUUAGAAAUAAUUAUAGCACUAUUUGACUGUUAGUUCUCUAUAAACUGUUUUAAAAAACAAAGUGAAUAAAGACCAAUUUUUAUUUUUUUUAUUUUUUAUUAUCACUUUUAAAAAUAUACACUAUGAGAAAAUGAGGAGAUAGUCACACAACUUUAGUCAGGGUUAGCAAAACUCAUGACCAAAGGGUGUGUACAGUUGUGUUUAGAGGGGUUAGCAAAAAUCAUGACUCAAGGAUGUGUACAGUUGUGUUUAAGAGAGGUCCGCCUCUACUAGUCAUGAUCGUACCAAAUUCAAGUGGGUAAAUUUCCUGGGGUACGGGGCUGUAGUACAACCAUAGAAUGGUUGUGGACAUGGUAUUUCAUGGGCAGUGGAAAUAGGCCCAAUAUGCCAACAGUGGGCCAAACGGUAGAGACUGGGUCUGCAUAUAAACCCAAUUCUUUGCGGCCCUAUCUCUUUCAUAUCCAUUUUUUUUUUUUUUUUUUUGCAAAUAUGCUCUCUGUGAACUAAUUUCAGCAGCCCUAGAUUAAAAACUCCACAGAUUUCGUAUCCAAUUUAGGGCAAAACUGCAGUUUGGAGGUUUUGAUUUAGUUUAAUUUUUUUAGUUCUUUCUGGUUUGUUUAUCAUUUUUAUUGUAUGAUUAAGAAAAUUAAGGCUAAAUUUUUGUAGUUUGUUUGGUGGAGAAAAGGCUCAAUAUAUACUUAAAUAUCAUGAAGUUAAUUUUUUUUAUUUUCUUGACAACCAAAUACACAUAAUGCUAGUAGAAUUAGACAAAUUCUCAAUUUGAAGAAAUUCAUUAGAAAAUUAGUAGACAAACUAAAAAAAUAUUUGCACAAAAACAUGUCUUUUUCUUGGUGGAACCAUCACUAAUUUUGUUGUUAUCUUUGCCUUUUUCUUCAUCUUUAAUUGUGAAUAUAUAUAUAUAUAUAUAUAUAUAUAUAUAUAUAUGUCGUUAUUAAAUUUUCUUUAUUUUUCCCUAUAACUGUGCAUGUUAGUGGAUCAGUUAUUAAAUCACCACUUUAACACCUACACAUCAAUGCCCAAUAACACAAUAUUUGUGCUAUUGCUAAGCCUAAAUUUCCUUUACUUUUUGUUUCUCAUUUCUCCCAUACAAAACCUUUUGUACAUGGUUGUUGUGGGACUAUAAAUACCGUCAUGUAUUCUCUUGGCCAUAUAAAUGGAAUUUGCUAUGGUUUGCCAUCUCUAUGUUGAGCCAUAUUCAAACCUGAAAUUCUCUUUGUUCUAUUUUUUAUUUUCUGUCUUCCUAUUAGAGCCAUUGGGCAUCAUCAAUAUAAAUUAAAGCCGACUCAGCAUACUUGCCUCCCUUUCCAUCUAUGACAAUAGUAGACUCAACUUCAUUGGCACUUAAUAUUGAUCUACCUUAAUCCUUCAUUACUAACAACUCUUUGCUUGGCAAUAUCAUGAGCUUUAGGUCUCCAAUAAAACUAGAUUGGAACAAUUUUCUUUUAUGAAAAUCCGUCAUCAUUACGACUAUGAAAGGGCAUGAGUUAGAUGGUUAUCUAUUUGAGACACAAACCCAUCCCAGAAAAGCUACUACAACAGGUUGGUGAGACAUGAUUGAAGGAGUGCAAACAAAGAAAGGGCUUGAGAUGUGCAUGAGCCGCAUAAAAGUGCAUGUGACAGGUUACCUAGAGAUGCAAUAUCAAGUUAAUUGAAUGCAUGGCUGAUUCAAACACAUGAGUGGACUAAUGCAAGCGACAAUACUAAGAGGAAUUUCAAAUAGAGGAGGAAUGGACCAAAGACACUUGAAAUCUCAAAGUUGGAAUCAAAUUGGGAUUGCAGUUUGAGUUCGAGUAGGAGUUCAUAUGCUUAUUGUAAUUGCAGUCUUACCAAGACUAGGAUUGCUUGUCCCUAAUCCAAAUAAGAAUUAUUGGUACCACAACCGAUGAAUAAGAGUUUGGGUAGGACUAGGAUUGUUAAUUCCUAAUCAAAAUAAGAAUAGGUGGUGUCACACUUAUAAAAAGAGGAUAGGAGUGCCAUCUAAAGACAUCUUGUAGGCAUGAGAUGAGAGAGAGCCUUCAUGAGACUAAGCAUGAACUCAUCAAAGAGAAUGUGGGAGUCUUGUUAUCUUGCAUUGUUAUUUAAAGAAGAAAUAAUAUACAAGUUGGGGAUUGAGCCCCAUAAAUCUCAUGUUUCUUUGGGUUGAUCAUCUUCAGUUGACAUGCCAAUGCCUUGAUAUUGUUUUAAAACAAACUUCUUGGGAUUUCCCUUAUGUGGUGUUGCUUUUGCGGUGGGAGCCCUAGAAAUAUGUGUUGUGAAUUGAAGUCAAAUGAGCUCCAUUCCUGUAAUGCAAAUUAAUGAGGGGGAUUAUUCUAGUGGGCUCUAGUGAAGGAGAAGAAAAGCAGAAGCAGAUGAGAGAAAAGCUCUUGUAACAGAACCUAAUCUUCCAGCAUCCAACUGUUUUUUGAUUGUUUUUCUUCAUUCCUAGAAAUGGGAUGACUAGGCAACUAAAGGAUUCACACUUGUCAGAAUAUAUAAUUAUUGUAAAUAAUAUUUUACUCCUGUAUGUAAUUUUUCUUGUAUAGGGUGAUAAUCCCUUUGAUGAUGAUAGGAUUCACACUACUUAUUUAAGGCGUUUAUAUAUUAAAAUAAUAGUUAGAAAAUAUGACUUAUCAUAUAAAUUUUAUUUGAACUUAUUCAAUAAAUUCUUUCAUGUAUUAAUAUUAUUUUUUUAAAAAUCAUGAUUUUGGUUUAGUGUUUUUUGAGAAGGUGUUUCAAAUUCCUAUUUAGAUUAUACUUUUUUUUGUAAAAGAAAUAUUAUAUAGAAUAUUUCAUAACUUUAUAUGUAAUUGUAAUUAAAUUUAUUAGAAAAAUAAUAUAAAUAUCUUUAUAAAUAUUCUAGGUCAUGGAAAGAAAAAGUUAUGAGAGAAACAGGAUAAAGAUGUGAGGAAGUGCGAGAGACAUUUGAUGGAAUAAAAUAGUUCACUAGGGUGGAGAUGUAAGAAAGAGUGAAAAACAAGGUAGAAGACGUGUGAAAGGAUGAAGUUGCUGUUUUUUAGUAUGAGAAUUUAAUUUAAUCUUUUAGCCAAACGGAAUUUAAAGUAGUAAAUCAAUACUCUCUUUGAUAUUUUGUUCAAUCUUUCUUAUGUGGGAUCACCUAGUGAAGUAAAAAAAAACUCAUGGUUCAAAGUAGAUAUAUAAAGGAACCAAUAGUUGUAUCUAUAUUUUUUUAUCUUUUGUAAUAUUUGUUAUCAUAUAAUAGAAUGUUUUAUUUUGUCUAUAGAGGUAGGCAUAAAGAGAAAAAAAAAAAUAACUUUUUCAUUGAAAAAUUAAUUAUUAAUUGAUUUUGCCAAUAAUGAAAAGAUUACUAAGAAAGUCCGACUCCAAAUUGUUCAAGAAUAAUAUCAUUGAAUUUCUUAACCCUUUGUAAGUGGGAAACCCUUUGUAAGUACACUUCUUUAAGGGUAGAUUUGAGAUUGACUACGUCUUCACACAUCUCUUAUUUCCUUUAUUUUUAUUAUUUUUUUAUGGAUAACUAGACUCAUUAUAUGUUUAUUCUUCAAAUAUGGUAGGAAUGAGCCUCUACUAAUCAAGGAAAUCGUUACAGAUAUUUUGAAUAAAUUGUUAAGUACAUCUAUUAGUGAUACUGAAAAUCUGGUUGGAAUAGAUGCUCGCAUGCAAGAAAUAGAGAUGCGAUUAUGUUUGGGGCCUGAUGAUUUUCUGAUGGUAGGAAUUUGGGGCAUGGGCGGAAUAGGGAAAACAACCCUUGCUAGAGCUAUUUAUAGAAAAAUCACUUGUCAAUUUGAAGCAUGUUGUUUUUUUGAAAAUGUUGGGGAGGAUUUGGCAAAGGAGGGUUUAAUAGGAUUGCAACAAAAGUUUCUUGCUCAACUAUUGGAGGAACCAAAUCUAAAUAUGAAGGCACGCACAUCUAUAAAGGGAAGGCUCCACUCAAAGAAGGUCCUUAUUGUUCUUGAUAAUGUGAAUGAUCCAAUAAUAUUGAAAUGCUUGGUUGGAAACUAUGAUUGGUUUGGUCGAGGAAGUAGAAUUAUUAUAACCACUAGGGAUAAGUGUUUGUUAAUUUCACAUGGAGUACUCAAUUAUUAUGAGGCUCAGAGAUUUAAUUAUGACGAAGCUUUUGAGUUCCUUACACCCUAUUCAUUAAAACAUAAAAUUCCUUGUGAUGAUUUCAUGGAGGUUUCAAAAGAAGUAAUUGGUUAUGCUCAAGGCCUCCCAUUGGCUCUAGAAGUUUUAGGUUCCUUUUUAUUUAGCAUGACCAAAGAAGAAUGGAGAAAUCAAUUAGACAAACUGAAAAGUACUCCUAAUAUGAAAAUUUAAGAAGUACUUAAAGUAAGUUAUGAUGGGCUAGAUGAUAAGGAGAAGAAUAUACUACUAGACAUUGCAUGUUUCUUUAAAGGAGAGGAUAAAGAUUAUGUAAUGGAAAUACUAGAUGGUUGCGGCUUUUUCUCACUUAGUGGAAUACGAGCUCUCAUUGAUAAGUCACUCGUAACUAUUUCUUGGAGUAAUGAGAUAAUGAUGCAUGACUUAAUACAAGAAAUGGGUAGGGAAAUUGUUCGUCAGCAAUCCCUUGAAGAGCCUGGUAAACGUAGCAGAUUAUGGUUUCAUGAAGAUAUCAAUGGCAUAUUGAAAAAAAAUACGGUAAGAGCAAAAAAAAUAUAUGAAAUUUAUUUUAUGUAGCACAAAUUAAGAUAAGAAAUCAAGAAUUGUUUUACUUUAAAUAUUUAUAUGUUGAUAAACUUUAGUAAGAUUUUAUGCAUUAUGCAUGCUUUUCACUUACUCUAUUUCUUGGCCUGUAGGCAACUGAAAAAAUUGAAGGCAUAUUCCUCAACUUGUCUCAUUUAGAAGAGAUGUUAUACUUUACCACUCAAGCCCUUGCAGGGAUGAAUAGACUUAGAUUGCUCAAAGUCUAUAACUCUAAAAAUAUUUCAAGAAACUUCAAAGAUACCUCCAAUAUGGAGAAUUGCAAAGUGAACUUUUCCAAGGACUUUAAAUUCUGUUACCAUGAUUUGAGGUGCCUAUAUUUUUAUGGAUACUCUUUGAAAUCAUUGCCCAAUGACUUCAAUCCAAAGAAUCUUGUUGAGCUCAGCAUGCCUUAUAGUCGCAUUAAACAACUUUGGAAAGGAAUCAAGGUAAGAUCAUGAUCUAUUCAUGUUAUUUUCUUUAGAGUAUGCAAUGUUUACGAAAGCUAAAUUUAAAGUCAAGUUUCUUUUCAUUGCAGGUUCUUGCAAAUUUGAAAUUCAUGGAUCUCAGUCACUCUAAGUACUUAAUAGAAACUCCAAAUUUUCGGGGAGUCACCAACCUCAAACGGUUAGUUUUGGAAGGAUGUGUGUCUUUACGUAAGGUGCACUCAUCACUUGGAGAUUUGAAGAAUCUCAUUUUCUUGAAUUUGAAAAACUGCCAAAUGCUAAAGAGCCUUCCAAGUAGCACUUGUGAUUUGAAGUCUCUUGAAACGUUUAUUCUUUCUGGUUGCUCCAAAUUUAAAGAAUUUCCUGAGAACUUUGGGAGCUUAGAAAUGUUGAAGGAACUUUAUGUAGAUGAAAUUGCUAUAGGAGUACUUCCCUCCUCUUUUUCUUUCUUAAGAAACCUUCAAAUAUUAUCCUUUAAGGGAUGUAAAGGACCAUCAUCUACCCUAUGGUUGUUGCCAAGAAGAAGUUCAAAUUCCAUUGGUUCCAUAUUGCAACCUUUGUCAGGUUUACGCUCUUUAAUAAGACUAAACCUAAGUAACUGCAAUUUAUCGGAUGAACCAAACCUUAGCAGUCUUGGCUUCUUAUCAUCAUUGGAAGAGUUAUAUUUAGGUGGGAACGACUUUGUUACUUUGCCUUCAACCAUCAGUCAACUUUCUAACCUAACGUUGUUGGGGUUGGAAAAUUGUAAAAGACUGCAAGUACUUCCAGAGCUUCCAUCAAGCAUAUAUUAUAUAUGUGCAGAAAAUUGCACAUCAUUAAAAGAUGUCUCAUAUCAAGUACUUAAGUCACUACUUCCAACUGGCCAGCAGCAAAAGCGCAAGUUCAUGGUGAGUUCUCUCUAUAUCCCAUAUAUCGUUGCUUUAAUUAUUAAAAAGGAAAGUCCUUGUAAUAAGUUGUGUUUUAUUUUUGUAAUUCCUGAGAUCUUGUUAAAGUAUGCAUGAGAGAUAUGGAGACAGUUUGAAGUUGACAAAAGAAAAGUGUACUCAAAUAAUACAUAAUUUAGUAAUAGAUGUUGCAUGAAGGAAACCAACAAUUUCUAUCGAUCAACAUCCUAAUCAUUUUCAUUCUACAGGUUCGCGUUGUGAAACCGGAUACAGCCUUGGCGGUUUUGGAAGCAUCUAAUCCUGGGAUUAGAAUACCACAUAGGGCAAGUUGUCAGAGGAUCGAUCCCGUUGUGAAACUGGGUAUAGCCAUAGUGGCUUUAAAAGCAUUUAUUCCUGGGAGUAGAAUACCAGAUUGGAUAAGGUAUCAGAGCUCAGGGAGUGAAGUAAAAGCAGAGCUACCUCCAAAUUGGUUUAAUUCCAACUUCCUGGGUUUUGCUUUUAGUUUUGUCACUUGCGGCCAUUUCUCUUGCCUCUUCACGUUGAAAGCGGAUGUCUUGUUUGAUUGGACAUCCAGGGACGAUUCUUCCUCCGUUGAUAUCAUUAUUGUCGAAAUGAUUUCCUUUAAGAGAAGGUUGGAGUCGGAUCACGUGUGCCUGUGUUAUGUACCACUUCCCCAGUUGCGGAAUUGCUCUCAAGUGACUCACAUCAAGGUAUCAUUUAUGGCAGUCUCCAGGGAGGGUGAGAUUGAAAUUAAGAGGUGUGGGGUUGGUAUAGUGUACAGUAAUGAAGAUGGGAAUCACAACAAUCCCCCAAUGAUCCGAUUCAACUCUAUCUCCUCUCCUCCUCCUCCUCCUCGUAGUAAGUCAACCGUUGUCCUUGAAGAAAUCCAUGAGGAGGAACCUAGUGGAAAUGGGCGCUCUAAUGUUGAUGGCUCAGAAGAAGUGAGGAGGAGGAACCUAGAACUGCUACUGUCUGCUCUGAGGAUCGCUCUGAAUCAGAUGUUCGGCCACAGAAAUGCUUGAAAUGCAGGCAUU
rnacentral:lncRNA from 1 species